CUUUUUCAAGAAGUUUGAGGUUCUCUACGAUUUCAAGUGCUUGCGAAGCUUUCUACCCAUUAACCUACGCAACUGGGUAGGAGGAUAUUACUUAUCUAGUAAGGUUGUUGAAGAUUUAAUACCCAAACUCAAACGGUUACGCGUGCUAUCCUUAAAAUAUUAUCGAAACAUCAACAUACUGCCAGAAUCAGUUGGUAGUUUGGUGGAGUUGAGGUAUUUAGAUCUCUCAUUCACUGGAAUUAAAAGCUUACCUAAUGCAACAUGCAAUCUUUACAAUCUGCAAACCUUGAAUUUAACACAAUGUGAAAACCUCACUGAGUUGCCACUACAUUUUGGAAAGUUAAUUAACUUACGGCACCUUGAUAUUAGUAAGACAAAUAUAAAGGAGAUGCCAAUGCAAAUUGUUGGACUCAAUAACCUGCAAACAUUAACUGAUUUUUCAGUCGGCAAGCAAGACACCGGGUUAAGUGUCAAAGAGGUUGGUAAGUUUCCUAACCUGCGGGGAAAACUUUGUAUCAAGAACCUGCAGAAUGUCAGCGAUGCCAUUGAGGCGUAUGAUGUCAACAUGAGAAAAAAAGAACAUAUUGAGGAGUUAGAGUUACAAUGGAGCAAACAAACGGAAGAUUCGCGAACAGAGAAGGAUGUGCUUGAUAUUUUACAACCUUCAUUUAACCUUAGGAAGCUGAUUAUUAGGUUGUAUGGUGGAACAAGCUUCCCGAGUUGGUUGGGUGAUCCUUUGUUUUCUAACAUGGUGUCCUUGUGUAUCUCGAAUUGUGAAUAUUGUGUAACACUUCCACCACUAGGCCAACUACCUUCUCUCAAGGACUUGACUAUUGAGGGUAUGACAAUGGAAACAAUUGGGCUAGAGUUCUAUGGGAUGACAGUAGAACCUUCCAUUUCAUUAUUCCGACCAUUUCAAUCUCUCGAGUCUUUACAAAUCUCAAGUAUGCCGAAUUGGAAAGAAUGGAUACACUAUGAAAAUGAUGAGUUUAAUUUUCCUCGCCUUAGAACUUUGUGCUUAAGCCAAUGUCCUAAACUAAAGGGACAUUUGCCUAGCAGUCUUCCUUCAAUAGAUGAAAUCAAUAUAACUGGUUGUGACCGUCUCUUGACAACACCACCAACUACUUUGCAUUGGCUCUCCUCAUUAAACAAAAUAGGUAUAAAUUGGUCUACAGGAAGUUCCCAAUGGUUGUUACUUGAGAUUGAUUCUCCUUGUGUGCUUCAAGGUGCAACAAUCUAUUAUUGUGAUACCCUGUUUUCUUUACCCAAAAUUAUUAGGAGCAGCAUUUGUCUUCGAUUCUUGAUACUUUAUGAUGUUCCAUCUCUCGCUGCUUUUCCAACAGAUGGUCUACCCACUUCAUUGCAGUCACUUAGAAUUGAUGAUUGUCCGAAUUUAGCAUUCCUGCCACUUGAAACAUGGGGCAAUUACACAUCUCUUGUGACUUUGCACUUAUGGAAUAGUUGUUAUGCACUUACCUCAUUCCCUUUGGAUGGUUUCCCAGCCCUCCAAGAUCUUUCCAUUUAUGGCUGUAAAAAUCUGGAAUCCAUUUUUAUUACAAAAAAUUCUUCCCAUCUCCCGUCAACCCUCCAAUCAUUUGCGGUAUAUGAAUGUGAUGAACUUAGAUCAUUGACUCUACCAAUAGACACCCUGAUCUCUCUUGAACGUUUGCUUCUCGGAGAUCUUCCAGAACUAACUUUACCAUUUUGUAAAGGAGCUUGCCUACCUCCCAAAUUACGAAGUAUUGAUAUUAAUACAGUGAGAAUAGCAACGCCUGUAGCUGAAUGGGGUCUCCAACAUCUUACUUCGCUUUCAAGUUUGUAUAUUGGAGGUGACGAUGAUAUUGUUAACACCUUGCUGAAGGAGCGGUUGCUGCCAAUUUCACUUGUGUCUUUGUAUAUUUCUAAUCUCUGUGAAAUAAAAUCCUUUGAUGGAAAUGGACUCCGACACCUAUCCUCUCUUAAAACACUUAGCUUUUAUAAUUGUCCAAGGCUUGAGUCUCUUUCAAAAGACACUUUUCCAUCCUCUCUUAAGAUACUGCGCAUCCGGAAAUGCCCUCUGUUAGAAGCAAACUAUAAAAGUCAGAGGUGGGAACAGUUGUCCAUCCCAGUCUUGGAAAUAAAUGGGGAAGUGAUAAUAUGAGGGAAGGGAUGAAAAGAGAAGUGAAGGAAAAUUUACAAUUCUGUUUCAGGUAUGAGUUUUUUUAUGCAUCUAUCCAUAUAGAAUUUUUUUUCAACUUUUUCUUUGAUUUUUUCUGUGGAACAAUUCAUAAAAUAUAUCUAUCCUAAGUUAAUAACUUCAAUGUCUAUUUUAUGCAACAUGCACCUCAAUGAGAUUUGAUGUUGCUUGAGACAUAUCUUUGUUGAAAUAAAACUAAAGGAUAGUUAUCAGAUAUUCUAUACAUUUACAUGGAUAAAUAAAUACAAUUACAAUUACAAUUUACAUUUACAACUUUAUCUCAAUAACAAGAACAAAAUAUUCUUUCUUAAAAUCCUAUUGAAAACCAGUUUAAUUUUUUAAAAUCCUAUUCUUAAUCCUAGUUAAGAUUAAACUUAUAAUGUUUUCGAAGCCAUUGUUAAUUUUUAUUCUUUUGCUGUUAAUAGGUUUGUCAUCGGUAAGGCGUGCAAAGUGCAUUCACAGAGAUUUGGUUCAUUUUUUCAUUUCUCUUAAGGAAGCAGCAGACACUAUAAGAAUAAGAAUUACUGGCAACAUUAAUGUAUGUCAUAAAGCUUCAGUUUGUACUUACUUAUCUAUUUUGAUUAGUUUUAUUUUUAAUCAAGAAACUAAACUAGUCUACGAAAAUUGGCACGGGAGAAUUGAACCUAAGACCUUGAGGAGUAGCACACUCCAAGGUCCAAAGCCAACACCACCAGGUCAAUCAAAGUGGGUUAUAUUUUGAAAUAAAUCGUCGGUAUCUGGGUUAGCCUUUUGUUGAAAGCAUAGAACUUAAAAAUUACGAAAAGAAAAUGACUUUAUACAAAUACGGACACGUCAACAUCAGUAGUAAGUGGUAACUUAAGAAAAUGACAUAAUUAAAAGUAAUCACAUGUGUCAGUGUCGUGUCGGUGCUACAAAGCUUAAAAGACUUUAGUUUAGAAAUUAUAAUAAAACAGUACAUAGAAAUUCAGUUUCUGACAAAAGAUUUUUCUGUAGAUAAAUUUAAUUAUGAAGUGAUGAACUGAAAGAACAAAAAGCCUGACAUAAAGAAUACAAUUAGUGAUACUACCAAAGAAUUAGCAAGUUGAUACAAAAGCUGCUUUUGAUCCUCUUUCUUUUCAUUUUAGUCUUUGUAGCUCAUAUUGGAGGGACUAAAGUGUUAGGCUUGUCACAUCUACAUUGUUGAACCAGAUGAAACCCUUAGAUUUGUCACAUUUACAUUGUUUUUAAAUUGAUUACUAGUAAUAAAGAAAAAUUAACAUUUACUCAGGUUGUACUUUUUCCUCUGUAUAGUUCGAUUUUAUUUUAAUAUAUACACACUAUUUAAUUCAACAAAGGUGAUAAACUUUCUUACUUCGCGCAGGUAAUUCAUGAUGCCGGUGGAUACUUCCUCGCAGAAACUAUCAAAAUACCGUUUUCAUCAAUUGAGAAACGUACGCAGAUAGGAUGGCAACGAAGGAAAGUCUCAGGAAAGGGCUGACUAUCUCUGCUUGAAGGCCUACUAGACAACAUGAAUCAAACAAUUUUUAGGAAAUUAGAAUUUUUCUUAUCCAGAUUCUCACUUUGUUAUAGGAUUAGAUCUAUCAUAAGUCUUUCUCCAAGUCCAUAAAUUUGGCAGAAAAACCUGAAAUCACUUUUCUUGCUUUUUUGUUUGUUUCAUUGUUAGAGCCUAGACUAGAGAUUCUUUGUUUUUGGUUUCUAGGUUGCAUGAAAUUUGUAAUAAUUGUUUUGGUUAAUGAAAUAUAUCUCUAUUUACCAAAACAAAAAAAUAAUGUUUGUGUGUAUAUAUUUGUGAGGUUGAAGAAAGGAAAUAAAAAUAUUUGUGAGGUUGUAAUGAUUAAACGAUAUUGAAAUUAAAUAUACAAGUGAUAAAAAGAUAAUAAAAUUCCUUAAAAAAAAAGAUAAUAAAAUUAAAUGGACCCUCCUUAAAAAAAAUUAAAUGGACCGGUUCAAAAAAAAUAUUAAAUGUAAGAAAAAAGCAAAUUGAAAUAUAAUAUUAAAAAAUAAAAGAAAAAGUUGCCUGCGUGAGUUGAAGUUGAAGAGAGGUGAUUGUGAAAUAAAUUGACAAGAAGUAGUUUUUUGAAGUAGCAUGCAACAACUUUUGGUCAAAGCUCAUUCCAUUCAGUUUUAUGCAUUAUAAAAAAAAUACUUUUUUUAGAAGGUACUUUAUUGAUAUUGUGUUUGUCCUAACUUCUCCUUGAAAAUGUAGAGAAGUUGAAAAAAAGUCGGGGCAAACGGUACCUAAAUACAUGAUAAUGAUAAAACUAAUUAUUAUUAUUAUUAUUUUUAUUCAUAGAUAUCAAUUUUCAAAGUUUUAACUUAUGUUGGUUGUGAUAACAUUUUGAAUCCAACGGAGUUUCCUAUCUUUCCUUUAUUUAUAUCCAAUUUGUUUCUUCCCCUUUUUUGGUUCGUUUCAUUUUGAACUUACCUAUUGUUUUGUUACUUAAGUUGAUACGUGAGUUGCUUAAUAUUUUUAGUUUACUUAAUUCUUAAGUUUCUCUAGAUUAAUCAUGAUCCUCUCCCUAUAAAAGGAGAGUUCACCUAGUUCAUUCGAUGCACCGAAAAGUAUUCUGAAACUUCAAAUACUUUUCUUCUCUCUUCCCCAAGAUCAUAGUCACUUUUUGAUAUAAUGUCCGUUUGGAUUUAAGAAUGGUCUAGCAUAGUCCCUUUGAUAUUUUAUGUCCAUUUGAAUUAAAUAAUAUUUUAAGAUCGUAGUCUUUUUUCGGUAUAAUGUCCCUUCAAAAUUAAGAAUGAUAUGAAAAAUAUAUUCUUCUUCGAUUCUUGGAGAAGUUAUAUGUUAUAAUGAUUGUAACACCCUAUUUAAGUGGUUGAAAUACCAUACUGACAUUUGGAGAUGUUAAAAGUUAGAAUAGUGGUAACACCAUAUUUGAGUGGUCACAAUAUUAUAGUAGAGUAGUCAUUGUACCAUAAUUGAUUUGGUUUUAGUGAUAAAAUAAGAGUGGUCUUAGUUGUUAAUCGAGCGAUUUUCUACAUAGCAGUACUUAAUUGCACAGUUGCAGUUAAGCUUACUAUAUCCUAAAGACAGCGUGGUUGAUAGUUUAUCUUGCAUAAUUAUGAACAUUGCCACGAAACAUUUUUAAAAGAUUGACCUAAUCGUACUUAACAAAAAAUUUCGAUAGAUAAAAAUUCUAUUUUCAGAAACAAUUUGAAAAUCUAAAUAUAACAAUUUAAGAAAGACUAAAUGCAAUCCAAACACUCUAUUUAUUUGCAGGAAUCCUCAGGGGUCAGACUGAAGCAUAUAUUUGCCUGAGGAUAGAUGUUUCCUACUGUUUGCCAUUGACUGUUCUGACACCACUACCUCAAAUACUACGAAGGCCACAACAUAUAUAUAUUUUUUUUCUUUUGCACCGGUUUCCAACAAAAUGCCCUCUGUUAGAGGCAUGUGCACUGGCCAAGCGUUGUUCCUUUUGGGAAUCGAACCCGAUAUUCCCCAGAUACGUACGUCCUUGGAAGGAGCUCCUUGCCACUAAAUCCCAAGCAAACCCCCGUACAAUUCUUCAUUAACAACAUUUUGUUGGCAUUUCAUCUUCUCACUAACACUCAUAGCAAUUAACCACCAUAACUAGCUAUUUAAAAUCCACAAAAUUUUUUUGGCAAAAAGAUAUUUAUAAUUAAUAAUUUCUACUUAUAUAAUUGAAAUUCCACAAAAAAAUCCUUUAAUAGACACACUCUCAACCUUUUUCCCCUUCUACGCUCAUUCUUAAUUGUUUUCUACCCUAACAUGCCUCCCAAGUUCGGCACAAUUUCAGCCAUGGUAACCACAAACCAUCGUAAAAUAUGGUCAUCGAAAGUUAGGAUAGUAAGACUAUGGAGGCUUCUAAAUUUUAUUUUAUUUUUUUUGACCAAGGAAACUUCCAAAGUUAGGAUAGUAAUACUCCCUCCGUUCCUUUUUAAGUGUCACUUUUAGAGAAAAUUAUUGUUCUUAUUUAACUGUCAUUUUUCAAAGUUCAAUGCAACAUUAAAUGUUGUUUUACCAAUAUUAUCCUUAGUUAUUUAUUACAGAGAGAGAAAUAUAUGAAAUGAGAUAUUAAAUGAAUAAGCUAAUCAUAGUAAAAGUAUAACUUAUUGCAUCAAUUGUUGAUUGUCUUGGUUUGUAUAAAAUGUAAAAAUGUGACAAUUAAAAAGGAACGGAUGUAGUUAAUAAUUGUGAGUUGUCACACACACUUCACUUAAUGGGACACUUUUCCAACAUCAAUUAUUGAAUCACUUUUCCUUAUACUUUUCUCACUCAUAUAGUUGAUAGUUAGAAUAGAUUCGUAGACCAGGUGUACUGAUCCUUUUUAAAUUUAAAAAAGUUUUAUACGAUUCUUUCCUAUUUCUUCUAUACCGUAGAGUUAAAACUAAAAAGUAUUUGUUGCUUUCUCCAUGUUUUCUAACGUUUUCAACAAAACCCUCUCGUAAAAGUAUUUUACAAUGUUUUCGGUGAUAUUAGUAAGUGGUAUUUGAACCGUUCUUUUUCGAUUCAUGUCAGCAUUGCGUAUCAAAGUUAGCAUAUCAGCGAUAGUAUCUUUACCCACGAUAGAUUAUUGCUCCUUACUUUCGAUAUAAUAAACGUGCUCCUGUUAUUUUUUAUUUUUUUUUUGAUUCAAUAAAAUAUCAUAUAUUGAAUAUGAGAAUAUAAUAAUACUAUAUAUAGAUAGAAAAUAUUAUUCUAAUUAGUCUAAUCAGUAUAAUGUAAAUCUAUAAUAUAGAAUAUUCUAAAACUAAAAAAAGAUAGAAAGAAAAUGAAUGAAUGACCUAUUAUAAAUUAUAAACUAUAUAGAUAAUAUUAUAUCGAAUUCAGAAUUCUAUUUGUAUUUUUUUUAUACUUUAUACAAAAUACAAAUAAGUAGUCAUGCAUUACGAUAGGCACGCCCAAUUCUCUAGCAAAUACAGCUCUUUUCAUCAUGUCUUCACAGGUGCCCGCAGUAGCAUUCAAAUAAUGUCCUUUGAUUUCACCAGUUUCGGCCUGUGCUUUAUAAAUAGCUUCGGCACAAAAUAAGAAACGGUCUCUCCAACGCAUAAAUGGUUGGGAGUUCACAUUUUCAUCAACUUUGGUAAAAUCAAGUCCACCACGUAGACAUUCAUAAACUGCUCUACCGUAAUUUUUAGCGGAUAAACCCAAUUUAGGUUUAAUAGUACAUCCCAAUAGGGGACAUCCAUAUUUGUUCAAUUUAUCUCUCUCAACUUGGAUUCCGUGAGGAGGACCUUGGAAAGUUUUAACAUAAGCAACGGGGAUUCGCAAAUCUUCCAGACGUAGAGCACGCAAGGCCUUGAACCCAAAUACAUUACCUACAAUGGAGGUAAACAUGUUAGUAACAGAACCUUCUUCAAAAAGGUCUAUGGGAUAAGCUACAUAAGCAAUAAAUUGACUCUCUUCUCCAGCAACAGGUUCGAUGUGGUAGCAGCGUCCUUUAUAACGAUCAAGACUGGUAAGUCCAUUGGUCCACACAGUUGUCCAUGUCCCAAUCGUACCAGUUUCUACUGGGGUUUAUUACUCAUUUUUGUACUUACUGUUUUAUUUUCAAAUUAUUUCUUCAAUUAAUAGACGAAAAGGGAAUAUAUAGAUAGUAGCUUUUGCUAAAUUAUGCUUUAUUCGCAGCAUGACUUUUAAACAUCAACAAACAAUUAUCUAAGAAAUAUGGUGAUGAUAAUUCUUUCAUAGAUACAACCCUAAAUCAAUAUUAUUUGGAUACCCUUCAAUGAAAUGAAUAAAAUUUAAGAGAAAGAAUUUAGUCGUAUCAAUUGACAUCGUUUUUAUUAAAUAAAUAAAAAAACAGUUUUGUGUAUUCCCAAUUAUUUUUGCAUGGGUUUGUGUCUAAUAAAUAUACUUCAUGUACAUCCACGUGAGUUUAACUCAAUUGGUAGGGAUCCUUAAAAAAAAAAAAAAAAACUUAAUUGGUAGGGAUAUUGCAUAUUAUAUGCAUGUGUCAGGGUUCAAACUCCAAACAUUUAACCAUAUUUAAAAUGUGUGAGCUCUAAUCACUUGAUUACUUGACCCAAUAAAAAAAGGUAUAUCUCCUCUGCUGAAAGGUGAUCACUUUGGAAUCCUCUCUUUUGCUUUAUUGUUUUCUUUUCUUUAUAUCAAUUAUUUUGCCAGAUGUGUGUCCAUUAACCAUUGGUGUGCUUUUUUCUGUAGUUUGUCAAUGCUUUUCUCAAUACUUUAGUUAUUCAUUCACAACAUAACCGUGUAUUUUUAUUAAGCCUUAUCUCUUUACCAUUCACAACAUAGUUCUAAAAUUCAUUCAAGAUUUAGUUACAACUUCAUUCCUUGCUGCUUUUACUUUAACAAUAGAAGAUGGCUGCAACUUUGGUGGGAGGGGCUUUUCUCUCUGCUACUGUUCAGACUUUAGUUGAGAAACUUGCUUCACAAGAGUUUUGUGAUUACAUCAGAAACACCAAGCUGAAUUCCUCACUGUUGGCAGAGUUGGAAACAACACUGCUCGCUCUUCAGGCGGUUCUUGAUGAUGCAGAACAGAAGCAAAUCACCAACACUGCUGUCAAACAAUGGAUGGAUCAACUGAAAGAUGCAAUCUAUGAUGCUGAGGAUUUGCUUAACCAAAUCAAUUACGACUCCCUCCGAUGUAAGGUGGAGAAGAUACAAUCUGAAAACAUGACUAAUCAGGUUUGGAACCUCUUUUCAUGUCCUUUUAAAAAUCUCUAUGGAGAGAUCAAUUCACAAAUGAAGAUUAUGUGUCAAAGGCUGCAACUUUUUGCACAACAGAGAGAUAUCCUUGGCUUGCAAACUGUGAGCGGGAGAGUUUCUCUAAGAACGCCUUCAAGUUCAAUGGUAAAUGAAUCUGUUAUGGUUGGAAGGAAGGAUGAUAAAGAGAGACUCAUUAGUAUGUUGAUAUCUGACAGUGGCACUACCAAUAGUAGUAUUGGUGUGGUUGCAAUUUUGGGUAUGGGCGGUGUUGGCAAAACCACUCUUGCCCAACUUCUUUAUAAUGAUAAAGAAGUUCAAGACCAUUUUGAUCUGAAAGUCUGGGUUUGUGUAUCGGAGGAUUUCGAUAUUCUGAGAGUAACUAAAACCAUUCAUGAAUCUGUCACUUCAAGAGGUGGUGAAAACAAUAAUCUUGAUUUUCUUCGAGUUGAAUUGAAUCAAAACUUGAGGGAUAAAAGAUUUUUGUUAGUGCUGGACGAUCUGUGGAAUGAUAGUUAUAAUGAUUGGGAUGAGUUAGUAACUCCAUUGAUUAACGGCAAAACGGGAAGUAUGGUGAUCAUCACAACACGCCAACAAAAAGUUGCGGAGGUUGCACACACGUUUCCUAUUCACAAAGUAGAUCCUCUAUCAGAUGAUGACUGUUGGUCGUUACUUUCAAAGCAUGCAUUCGGAAGUGAAGACCGUCGAGGUAGAAAGUACCCAAAUCUAGAAGAAAUUGGUAGAAAGAUUGCCAAAAAGUGUGGUGGAUUGCCCAUAGCUCCUAAAACACUCGGAGGAAUUUUGCGUUCAAAGGUAGAUGCAAAAGAGUGGACUGCAAUUCUAAAUAGUGACAUAUGGAACUUACCAAAUGAUAAUAUUUUACCUGCUUUGCGUCUAAGUUAUCAAUAUCUUCCCUCACAUUUGAAAAGAUGUUUUGCCUAUUGCUCAAUUUUUCCGAAGGAUUUUCCACUGGACAAGAAGGAAUUGAUUUUGUUAUGGAUGGCAGAAGGCUUCCUAGAGCAUUCUCAACGUAAUAAAACAGCUGAGGAAGUAGGCCAUGACUACUUUAUUGAAUUGUUAUCCAGGUGCUUAAUUCAACAAUCAAAUGAUGAUGGAAAAGAAAAAUUUGUUAUGCAUGACCUUGUCAAUGAUUUAGCCUUAGUGGUGUCAGGAACAAGUUGCUUCAGGCUUGAAUGUGGUGGUAACAUGUCUAAAAAUGUACGUCAUUUGUCAUAUAAUCAAGGAUAUUACGACUUUUUCAAGAAGUUUGAGGUUCUCUACGAUUUCAAAUGGUUGCGGAGCUUUCUACCCGUUAACCUUAGUAUCGUGAAGGGAUCAUAUUGCUUAUCUAGUAAGGUUGUUGAAGAUUUAAUACCCAAACUCAAACGGUUACGUGUGCUAUCCUUAAAAAAUUAUCAAAACAUCAACCUGCUGCCAGAAUCAGUAGGUAGUUUGGUGGAGUUGAGGUAUUUAGAUCUCUCAUUCACUGGAAUUAAAAGCUUACCUAAUGCAACAUGCAAUCUUUACAAUCUGCAAACCUUGAAUUUAACACGGUGUGAAAACCUCACUGAGUUGCCACCAAAUUUUGGAAAGUUAAUUAACUUACGGCACCUUGAUAUCAGCGGGACAUGCAUAAAGGAGAUGCCAACGCAAAUUCUUGGACUCAAUAACCUGCAAACAUUAACUGUUUUUUCAGUUGGCAAGCAAGACACCGGGUUAAGUUUGAAAGAGGUUGGUAAGUUUCCUAACCUACGGGGAAAGCUUUGUAUCAAGAACCUGCAGAAUGUCAUCGAUGCCAUUGAGGCUUAUGAUGUCAACAUGAGAAACAAAGAUAUUGAGGAAUUAGAGUUACAAUGGAGCAAACAAACGGAAGACUCGCGAAUAGAGAAAGAUGUGCUUGAUAUGUUGCAACCAUCAUUUAACCUGAGGAAACUGAGCAUUAGCUUGUAUGGUGGGACAAGCUUUCCGAGUUGGUUGGGUGAUCCUUUUUUUUCUAACAUGGUGUCCUUGUGUAUCUCGAAUUGUGAAUAUUGUGUAACACUUCCAUCACUAGGUCAACUACCUUCUCUCAAGGACUUGACUAUUGAGGGUAUGACAAUGGAAACAAUUGGGCUAGAGUUCUAUGGCAUGACAGUAGAACCUUCCACUUCUUCAUUCAAACCAUUUCAGUAUCUCGAGUCUUUAAAAUUCUUUAGCAUGCCGAAUUGGAAGGAAUGGAUACACUAUGAAAGUGGUGAAUUUGGUUUUCCUCGCCUUAGAACUUUGCGCUUAAGCCAAUGUCCUAAACUAAGGGGGAAUUUGCCUAGCAGUCUUCCUUCAAUAGAUAAAAUCAAUAUAACUGGUUGUGACCGUCUCUUGACAACACCACCAACUACUUUGCAUUGGCUCUCCUCAUUAAACAAAAUAGGUAUAAAAGAGUCUACAGGAAGUUCCCAAUUGUUGUUACUUGAAAUUGAAUCUCCCUGUUUGCUACAAAGUGUAAAAAUCAUGUAUUGUGCUACCCUGUUUUCGUUACCCAAAAUUAUUUGGAGCAGCAUUUGUCUUCGAUUCUUGGAACUUUGUGAUCUUCCAUCUCUCGCUGCUUUUCCAACAGAUGAUCUACCCACUUCAUUGCAGUCACUUAGAAUUUCUCAUUGUCCGAAUUUAGCAUUCCUGCCACUUGAAACAUGGGGCAAUUACACAUCUCUUGUGGCUUUGCACUUAUUGAAUAGUUGUUAUGCACUUACCUCAUUCCCUUUGGAUGGUUUCCCAGCCCUCCAAGGUCUUUACAUUGAUGGCUGUAAAAAUCUGGAAUCCAUUUUUAUUUCAGAAAGUUCUUCCCAUCUCCCGUCAACCCUCCAAUCAUUUAGGGUAGAUAAUUGUGAUGCACUUAGAUCAUUGACUCUACCAAUAGACACCCUGAUCUCUCUUGAACGUUUGUCUCUCGAAAAUCUUCCAGAACUAACUUUACCAUUUUGUAAAGGAACUUGCCUACCUCCCAAAAUACGAAGUAUUUAUAUUGAAUCAGUGAGAAUAGCAACGCCUGUAGCUGAAUGGGGUCUCCAACAUCUUACUUCUCUUUCAAGUUUGUAUAUGGGAGGUUACGAUGAUAUUGUUAACACCUUGCUGAAGGAGCGGUUGCUGCCAAUUUCACUUGUGUCUUUGUAUAUUUCUAAUCUCUGUGAAAUAAAAUCCAUUGAUGGAAAUGGACUCCGACACCUAUCCUCUCUUGAAACACUUUGUUUUUAUAAUUGUCCAAGGCUUGAGUCUCUUUCAAAAGACACUUUUCCAUCCUCUCUUAAGAUACUGCGCAUCAUUGAAUGUCCUCUGUUAGAAGCAAACUAUAAAAGUCAGAGGUGGGAACAUUUGUCCAUCCCAGUCUUGGAAAUAAAUAACGAAGUGAUAAUAUGAGGGAACGGACAGAAAAUUUGUAAUCCUGUUUCAGGUAUGAUUCUCUUUUAUGCAUCUAUCCAUGAAGAAUUGUUCAAUUUUUUCUGUGUAAUAAAAUAGUCAAGUUCAUUUAUAAUAACCUACAAACUGUGGUAAAACACCAUUUCUUGAGAUUUUUAAGUUAAUGGAUCUAAGACGUUGUUACGCAAUUUUCUCAACAACUAAAAGAAAACUAAAAGGUCUACUGCAUAAGUAGAAGUAGAUGAAAAUAAGAAUCCAGAUUGAUUCUUGGUUCAAUGUAAUGCCAACUUGUUCCAGUAAAAUAUAUCUAUAUCCUAAGGUAAUAACUUCAAUGUCUGUUUUAUGCAACAUGCACCUCAAUGAGAUUUGAUGUUCCUUGAGACAUAUCUUUGUUGAAAUAAAACUAAAGAACAGUUAACAGAUAUUUUAUACAUUUACAUGGAUAAAUAAAUACAAUUACAAUUGCAAUUUACAACUUUAUCUUUGUGACAAGAACAAAUAAUUCUUUCUUAUAAUCCUAUUGAAAACCAGUUUAAAUUUUUAAAAUCAUAUUCUUGAUCCUAGUUGAGAUUAAACUUAUAAUGUUUUCGAAGCCAUCGCUAAUUUUUAUUCUUUUGUUGUUAAUAGGUUUGUCAUCGGUAAGGCGUGCAAAGUCCAUACACAGAGAUUUGGUUAUAAGAACAAGAGUUGCUGGCAACAUAAAUGUAUGUCACAAAGCUUCAGUUUGUAUUUACUUAUCUAUUUUGAUUUUUUUUCUCUCCAUAUUUUGAUUAGUUUUCUUUUAAUGAAGAAGCUAAAUUAGAUUACCGAAAUUGGCAUCGGGGAGAAUCGAACCUCGGACCUUGAGGAGGAACGCACUCCAAGGUCCUAAGUCAACAUCACCCGUCAAUCCAAGUGGGUUAUAUUUUUCUUAGUUUAUCUGUGUAUUUUUGUUCAGUACAGUUUUUAUAGAUUUAAUUCAUAAGCACUAACUGUGACAAUAUUUACCUUAUUAAUCAAUCAUAACUAUUUGAUGAUUAAACAAAUUUUACUUUCAUCUGAAGUGCAUAUGAUUAGUUGGUAUUUGGUUAGCCUUUUGUUGAAAGCAUAUAACUUAAAAGUUGUGAAGCACCGAUACAAACACGGACACGUCGACAUUGUGUCGCUGCUACAGAGCUUAAAAGUCCUUAAUGUACAAAUUACAAUAAAGCAGUACGUAGAAAUUCAGUUUCACAAUCUGACAUAAGUUUUUGCUGUAAAUAAAUUUUAAUUAUGAAGUGAUGAACUUUCUUACUUCGCGCAGGUAAUUCAUGAUGUCGGUGGAUACUUUCUCGCAGAAACUGUCAAAAUACCGUUUUCAUCAAUUGAGAAACGUUUGCUGAUAGGAUGGCAACGAAGGAAAGUCUCAGGAAAGGGCUUACUAUCUCUGCUUGAAGACCUACUAGACAGCAUGAAUCAAACAAUUUUUAGGGAAUUAGAUUUCUCACAUAAGUUUAAUUUUUCUCACAUAAGUCCAGAAAUGAGAAGCCAUCUACAAAUGUAAAUCAACAUUGUCUAAUUUUUCUCUUUGUAGAUUGUAUUGAAGAAACCAUAGAGUUAUUUUUGAAUCAGAAGUCAGUAUUGUAUAUAUUAAUCAUUUCUCUCUAAAAAUAACAAUUUUUUUUUUUUUUUGGUACAAAAAAAUAACAAAUUUAAUAACUAUUACAAAGGAAAUGUUAUGACUUAUAAUUUAACCAAUAUCCCUCUUUUGUAUAAACAAUAAAUAAAUUAUCCAAUCCUACAAACAUGGCCUAGUUUUAAUAUCUCAGAAAUAACAUGAAUGACAGAUCGAAUUAACAUGAAUAACUCAGAAAAAAAAUUAAUUAUCCAAUCCUUCAAACCUGGCCUAACUUUUAAUAAGUCAGAAAUAACAUGAAUAACUCAAGAGAUAAAUAAAUUAUCCAAUUGAAUUAUUUCAACAGAUAUCCGUAAACAUGCACUCCAAGUGCAUUGCAAUUUUCCAUCAUUUUGGUCCUCACAUUUUCCAUUAGUUUCAAAGUGUUAUUUCUGCUUUCAAAGUGUUUGAUAAGUUUCAUCAUCUUGUGUUUGUAUGAGGUAAAUGGAAAAUUUUGAAGAAUUUAGAAUUUUAGCCAAUUUAAAUGAUUCAAUUAAAUUUCUGUUAUUUUUAAAUAUUUUUGUUUCGAUGGAGUAAUUGUCAUAAUUUUUGGGUAACUUUUAUAAAUUUUAAUUUAUUUUGGCCAAAUUUGGAAAUUUAAAUUAGCGAUCAAGUUGUAAUUUUCUAAAAUUUUGAGGGGUCAAUUUAUAAUUUUUGAACAUUUUUAGGGAAAAUUUGUAAUUUCAAAAAAAAUAUAUAGGGGUCAGUUUGAAAAUUUUGGAAAAUGUGUGAACCAAAAUGAAAAAUUUGAACAACUAUAAUAAUGAAAAAAUUUAUCAUCCAAACAAUAGAAUCCACCUAAAAGUCUUUGAAUUCCCUCAAAACAUUACAUGUGUCAGCUUAGUGGUAAAGACUUGAAUUUGUAACUUCAAGAGACAUUGUUCAAAUCGCACAUGAAACAGUUGUAAAAUGAUCAUUAGUUCCACAAUUAUUAAUAAUAGAUUUUAAGGAAUAAAUUCUACAAAAAUUCAAUUAUUUUAUAAUAAUGCAUUUUUGUUUAUAAACAAAACAUUUUACUCGUUGAUAUUUGUAAAUAUAUGUAAAUACAUUAAUAUCCACUAAUACUCGUGUAGCGGAUAUUCACACGAAUGUAAGAAUGAUCUAAAUAUCAGUUUUAUCAACUAACUACUAUGUAUAUCAUGUGGACAUCGAUUAUCAUCCCUAUUAAUAGUAUAGUAGCAACAACAAUAAAAUUAUUAUUAUAUUAUUAUAUAAUAAUGAUAAAGUCACACUUCUAUUAAAAAGAAAUAAUCUCAAAAUAUAAAGAGCGAAAAAAUUUGAUAAAGUCCAAAGAAUAAUACAAAUGUCACGAUAAUUGAUUCAAAAUUGAUAAAUGUUUACUAGACAUUCAAAAUAGUUGCAACAAUUUUUUGUCAAUAUAUAAAGAAAGUAACAUUUAAGAAGAACAAAUAAAAGAAACAUUGAUAAAUUUAUUCUUUUUAUGGUAUUGCUUGACAAAUGAAAAUGUUCAACAUCAUUCCUUUUUUUCUUAUAAGCCACAAAACAUAGAAAAAUAAAAUUAAAACAUACUAUUAAAUAAAUGAGUACUUUUCACUUUUUAUUCUAAGUAGAAAAAUGAAAUACCCAUUCAAAAAAUAAACAAUAAUAAUAUUGAAGAAAAAAAACAUAAGAAAAAAUAUAUUGAGAGGAGAAUAGUCAAAGAUAAAUAAUAUAAAUUAAGAAAUAAAACCCUAAUAAAUAAAAUGGUUGAAAAGUGUGUUAGAACAACAAUGGUUCAUACAAGUCCUCUAAGGUUUUGAUGAUAAAAAAGUAUUGAAGAACAAUUGGAAUACUAACAUACGUUCAAGUGUGUAAAAUCUAUCUAUCAUGAAGAAAUAACAUAUGAAGAGCAUAAGAAGGAACCGGAGAAGCCUAGAAGACUAUGAUGGAAGAUCUAAAGGAAAGUCAACCAAAAGUCAACAUCAUUAGAAGAAAGAUGUCUCAAAGAAGCUGAAGAGUGACCUCAAGAGAUUUCGUGAAGGCCAUCAGACGCAUAAUAUGUCUGGCAUACUUGGAUCUGAGGGACCCGAAAUGCACGUAAAUUUUUGUCUAAUACUGUGAGCUGUCUAUACCGUAGUAUUUGAUAGAGGAGUUCUUUUGUCUUCUUCUGUCUACGUGUGCAACUAGACAAAUGACCUCAAGAACAAAGAGAAUACAACACAUAAUUCAUCUUUCAGGAAAGGAAAUUCAAAGGAUUUUCCAACGGAAUUAUCCAUAUCAGGCAAAGAGUCAACUUUCUUGAUCAAAGUUAUCCAACGACUCUAUUUGCAUUGCAACUCUUUUCCAAUGUCUCUCAAAUCACUGCCUAUAAAAGGAGUUGAAGACCUGAAGCAGAAAUAACAAGACUAUGUUAUUUUUAUAUGCCAAAUCUCCGUCAAAUCAAAUAGCGCAAAACACUUAGAAUUUUAGCUUUCAAGUUUAUAUCUUAGAAAUCCUAAGGAGUCUGUUCAUUUGUUCAGUUCACUACCAUUGUUAAAUCUAGUGUAAGAAAAAAGUAACUUGUUUGCAGUUGUGCAAACAUUUAAGAAAGUCUCUCGCCUGCGUGCUUGAGCAUAUAAGUCUCUUGGUAAAACCUUGAGUACCCAGAGAGUCUAUUGGAGUUGUCAUUGAGCAAGGGAAAGUCUUAAGCAGUUGCGCUUAAGCAAAUGUAAGUCUCUUGGAGUUAUCCUUGAGCAGGAAGUUUUUAGGUAGAGUCCUAGAGCAUAUAAGUCUCUUGCAGUUGUGCUUGAGAAAAGAGAAGUCUCUUGGUAGUGUCCUUAAGCUAAUUGUAAUCCAUAGUGGUUAUUGUGAAAUCUCUUGCAAGUGCAAGGGGACUGGACUACUCCUUAUGUCUGUCUUCUCUCUCUGACUCUCUAUCUUUAUGUUCUAUAUUUCUGCUGCAUUCUGUAACACCCCGUUUAUCCAACUUGAUAUUUUUUUGCAUAAAAUCAGAGUAAUCAACUAAAGAGGAUGCUAAACUACAUUAAAAUAUAAAUAGAAAAAAUUACUAUUUAUUCAAAACAUCUCAUGUUAUCAAUUCAAAUCUCUUUGCAGCGGAAAACUUUAAUUAAACAACGUAAUGGCACAACGGCCCCAACAUAAACAACUUAUUAGAAUUCAAUCUAGGUGAUUCAUCAACAUAAAAUCAUAGCAAUUACGUAACACAUGGAAAACAAGUAAGAUCCCCAUCCCGUUACGUAUCAAAGCGACCCUUAGACGACUUGUGAGAGAGUCAACUCACUUCAACAACUAUCCUUGGUUAUCUGCAAGUUACCCACGUAGAUGCAACAUUCAAACAGAAGGGGUGAGAUUUCACAUUCAAUAAUAAUAAGAAUAUAAUUCAUCAAUAGAAUUUAACAACAUAGACAACAUCAAUUAAUAAUAUUAACUCUUCAUAUAGUUCUUCAUUAACAACUCAUUGCUAAUUGACAACUUAGCAACAACGACAAAGCGACAACAACGACAUUAACUGGACAAUGCAACUACAAUAACUUAAUCAUCUCGACAAUGCAACUACAACAACUUAGCGACUUUAACUCGACAAUGCAACUUACAACUUAGCAACUUUGACCAACACUUGCAACUUAAUGAUAUUAAUAAUCAACAACAGCAAAGAUAGCAACAUCAACAACUUGCAACAUACAACAACUGAUAAUAACAACUUGAAUGAUAUGAACAACAAUAUUUUCUAUAUCAUACAUUUUUCACAUAAUAUAUGUAGCUCAAAUUAACCAACAACAAUAAUCAUAUUAAUUUAGACUCACUGAAAGGCUAUACCUUUAUAAACAACUUUCAUUCCUAUCCCAAGGACCAACUCAUAACAUUACGUGCGACAAAGAUCGCAAGAACACUAAGUAAGGCUGACUGCCACUGAGUGAUGAACACUAUUUUGUGAAAAUUGUUCAUAUUUGACUUUUAAUCAUGAAUUGAUAAAAGUUGCUUGCUGAAAGUUUAAUUAAAAGCACAAAACACAAGAAAUGAACUAAAAAUAUUGUUAAUGAAAGGGUGUGCCAACAAGAAACGAAAAUUAUGUAUUGGGAUUAAUUUUGACAAUGAUUUGGAGUUGAAAAAUGAGAAUUUGGUUUUUUGAAUUGGUGUUUAGGCUGAUCUGUGGUUUCAAACAAGAAAUGGAAUGGAGAGUUUAGGGACGCCACACUUUCUAAUCCUAGAAAAUGAUAAGUCUAUGGAAUGAAGAUCACCACAAGAAAGGAUUCUUGAUAUGAUCAAUACAAGGUCCAAUCCAGAACCUAAAGAGCAAUUACUCACUUUUUUUUAACGAAAAUUAACUUGUCUUUUAUUCAAUUUUCGUGUCCUAUAUAUAGGUAGGAGGGACACUUGCUGAAUUACAAAGAAAAAUGCAAAUAGCUCUUAGGAUUCCUUCAGCCAAAUUAAUCUAUCAUUAUUUCCUAUGGCUGAAGUAAAUUAACAUGAAUACAAGAAAUGGUUACAAGACAAAUCAAUGAAUGAGGGUGGCUGGUCUUGAUGAUCAUGAUGAUGGACGUGAAUUUGAUGAUGAUGGUGGUUUCAUAUGCUGAAAUGAAAUGCCUUCAUUGUCUCAUUGAAGUCUUGUCCCUUUCCUCUUCAAUUCUUGCAUUCUUUCAUCCUUCAGAUUAAAUGCUCGUUAAUGCCUUGUUUUUCUUUUGUCUUCAGCACUCCUUUGCACGAAAUAAACACACAAAACAUUCCAUUCAAAGCUUUGGAAGCUUCGAAAUGGAUUAAACACACAAAAUAACCAUACUUAGUGUUUUUGGACCAAAAUUGGUCUCUUACACUUUUUAUUAUAACAUAACAAGAACAACUAAAUAAAAUGGGCAGCAAGAGAUGCGCCCCACCCCUCCUCCAAUGGUUUGAUGCACAUGACCAUUUUAUCCUCCAUGCUUUCUAGUGUAGGUUUGGACUCCAAGACUUUUGCCACCAAUUGAGUUAGGGCCUCCUUAGCUUUCUUGGUUCUCGACCUUGUCAUUGGUCCUCCUAGCCCUUGAAUUGAAGCACUUGUGUCAUGGACAACCAUGCCCUCAUCAUCCCCUCCCUCUUGAAAGGAAUUCGUCCACGAAUUGAAAUCACUAUUACCUACAUCAAAAGGAGCUAAGUCAGCAACAUUAAAAGUAGCACUUAUAUCAUACUCACCGGGUAACUCAAGCUUGUAUGCAUUGUCAUUGAUCCUUUCUAGCACUUGAAAUGGUCCGUCACCCCUUGGUUGAAGUUUUGACUUCCUUUGUUUAGGAAACCUUUCUUUCCUCAUAUGCACCCAAACCCAAUCACCGGGUUCAAAAAUCACCCUCUUCCUUCCUUUGUUUGCAUUUUUAGCAUACCCUUCAUUUUUCUUUUCAAUUUGCAACUUCACUUGCUCAUGCAUUUUCUUCACAAACUCAGCUUUGUCUUUUCCAUCUUUAUGCUUCAAAAAAGAACUGUUAGGCAUAGGUAACAAAUCAAGUGGAGUUAGUGGGUUAAAACCAUAAACAACUUCAAAUGGUGACAUUUUUGUAGUACUAUGAACCACACGAUUGUAAGCAAAUUCCACGUGGGGUAAACAUUCUUUCCACAUUCUCAAAUUUCUUGUAAGAACACUUCUAAGAAGAGUAGAGAGAGUUCUAUUUACUACCUCAGUUUGACCAUCUGUUUGAGGGUGACAAGUUGUUGAGAAUAGUAACUUUGUUCCAAUCUUACCCCACAAGGUCCUCCAAAAGUGACUUAAAAAUUUUGUGUCACGAUCUGAAACUAUGCUCCUUGGAACUCCAUGAAUGCGCACAAUCUCCUUGAAAAACAAAUCAGCCACAUGGCGUGCAUCAUCUACCUUUUUGCAUGCAAUAAAAUGUGCCAUCUUGGAAAACCUAUCAACAACAACAAAAAUAGAAUCUUUCCCAUUCUUUGUUCUAGGUAAACCCAAAACAAAAUCCAUGGAAAUGUCAACCCAAGGAAAUUCAGGAGUUGGUAACGGUGUAUAAAGACCAUGAGGCAAAACUUUUGAUUUGGCCUUUUUACACACUAUGCAUCUUUCACACAACUUUUGGACAUCAAUUUUCAUAUGUGGCCAAUAAAAAUGCUCUUGCAGCAACUCUAAAGUUUUAACAACCCCAAAGUGUCCCAUUAAUCCCCCCUCAUGCGCCUCUUUUAAAAGCAAAGUUCUUAUGGAACAUUUUGGCACACAUAAUCUUUUUUCUUUAAACAAAUAACCAUUGUGCCUAAAAUAUCCAUUAAUGGCAGCAUGUUCACAAGCUAAAAAUUUUGAUGAAAAAUCAAUAUCACUUUCAUAUAAACUCUUAAUUUGUUCAAGUCCAAAAACUUUAGUUUCAAGAGUGGAGAGUAAGGCAUACCUUCUUGAAAGUGCAUCUGCAACCACAUUAGCUUUACCUCUUUUGUGUUUGAUCACAUAUGGGAAUUGUUCAAGAAACUCAACCCACUUGGCAUGUCUCUUGUUCAACUUACCUUGCCCUUUUAAAUGUUUCAAAGAUUCAUGGUCACUAUGAAUGACAAAUUCUUUGGGCAGUAGGUAAUGUUGCCAAGUUUGCAAUGAUCUAAACAAAGCAUACAAUUCCUUAUCAUAAGUGGAGUAAUUAAGGGAAGCACCCUUCAACUUUUCACUAAAAUAAGCAAUUGGAUGUCCUUCUUGCAUCAAAACAGCCCCAAUUCCAACAUUAGAAGCAUCACAUUCAAUUUCAAAAGAUUUGAAAAAAUUUGGUAAUGCUAAAAUUGGUGCUUUGGUGAGUUUUUCUUUAAGUGCAGCAAAAGCUUGCUCUUGUUUCUCACCCCAUUUAAAAACAUUUUUCUUAACAAUCUCAUUUAGAGGUGCAGCAAUGGUGCUAAAAUCUUUGACAAACCUCCUAUAGAAACUUGCUAAACCAUGGAAAAUUCUUACCUCACUUACAUUUUUGGGUGGUGGCCAAUCCUUGAUUGCUCUUACCUUUUCUUCAUCCACAUGGAUUCCCUUGGAGCUUACAACAAAACCUAAAAAAAUUACAUGAUCCGUGCAAAAGACACAUUUUUCCAAAUUUGCAAACAAAUGUUCUUUUCUUAAAACUUCUAAAACAGCCCUUAAAUGACCACAAUGUUCCUAGAAAUUUUUGCUAUAUAUCAAGAUAUCAUCAAAAUACACAACAACAAAUUUUCCCAAAAAUUCCCUCAAGACAUGGUUCAUGAGUCUCAUAAAAGUACUUGGCGCAUUAGUUAAACCAAACGGCAUAACCAUCCACUCAUACAAACCAUAUUUUGUUUUAAAAGCAGUUUUCCAUUCAUCCCCCUCCCUAAUUCUUAUUUGGUGAUAGCCACUUUUCAAAUCAAUUUUAGAAAAUAAACAUGCACCAAACAAUUCAUCAAGUAAGUCAUCUAGCCUAGGGAUUGGAUGUCUAUACUUAAUGGUAAUAUUGUUAACAGCUCUACAAUCAGUGCACAUUCUCCAACUACCAUAUUUUUUUGGAACUAAAAUAACAGGGACAGCACAAGGACUUAAACUUUCUCUUACCCAUCCUUUACUUACCAAUUCAGCAACUUGACUUUGAAUUUCUUGUGUUUGUUGGGGAUUGCUUCGGUAGGCUGGACGAUUUGGUAAAGAUGCUUCUGGAAUGAGGUCAAUGUGAUGUUCAAUACCUCUUAAAGGUGGCAGCCCAUUUGGUAUCUCUUUAGGGAACAAAGCCUCAAACUCCUGCAAAAGCGAUUCAACACAACUUGGAAAUUUUUGAGUGUUAGAAUUGUUAGUAAACAAAACCACCUCUUUGCAAAAUAGCAAAUAUAGGGGCUGCUUGGUGACAAUGGCAUUUUUUAUUUCUUCUUUUUUUGCCAUGAAACUUUCUUUCUUUUCUUUUUCUGUUUCUUUUUCUUUUCUUUCUUUUUCUUUUUCUUGCGCAUAUUUUUCUUUCAUUUUCUUUUGAUCUUCUCUUACAUCAUUAGGACUCAAUGGUGCAAGAAUAAUUUUUUUCCCAAAGUGCAUAAAAGAAUACUUAUUACUUCGGCCAUCAUGUUGCACUCCUCUAUCAAAUUGCCAUGGUCUUCCUAGCAACAAAUGACAAGCCUCCAUUGGUACUACAUCACACACAACAACAUCUUCAUACUUCCCAAUUUUAAAACAAACCUCUACUUGUUUGUCAACAAGCAUUUCUACACUUUCACUAAGCCAUUGAAGUUUGUAAGGCCUAGGGUGAGGUCUUGUUUCUAAUUCUAAUUUACCCACCAUGUGUGCACUAGCAACAUUAGUACAACUACCUCCAUCAAUAAUUAGAGAACAUACCUUUCCUUGCACUAAGCAUCUUGUAUGGAAAAGACUUUCCCUUUGAUUUGAUUCUUCCUCCUUAGCUUGGUUUCCCAACAUCCUCCUAAUCAUGAGAAAUUCACCAUUUUCACCAUCCUCCUCUUCUUCCCCUCCUUCAUCAUUCACGACAUAAUCCUCCUCCUCAAGGUCCUCAUUCUCUUCAAUUAACAUAGUUCUCUUUGUUGGACAUUGAGAAGCUAUGUGUCCUUUACCUUGGCACUUGAAACACGUAACAAUCUUGUUAGUAGAAACAUUUUGGGAUGAAGUAAUGUUUUUACCUUUAGGAUCACUUGAUGAACACUAUUUUGUGAAAAUUGUUCAUAUUUGACUUUUAAUCAUGAAUUGAUAAAAGUUGCUUGCUGAAAGUUUAAUUAAAAGCACAAAACACAAGAAAUGAACUAAAAAUAUUGUUAAUGAAAGGGUGUGCCAACAAGAAACGAAAAUUAUGUAUUGGGAUUAAUUUUGACAAUGAUUUGGAGUUGAAAAAUGAGAAUUUGGUUUUUUGAAUUGGUGUUUAGGCUGAUCUGUGGUUUCAAACAAGAAAUGGAAUGGAGAGUUUAGGGACGCCACACUUUCUAAUCCUAGAAAAUGAUAAGUCUAUGGAAUGAAGAUCACCACAAGAAAGGAUUCUUGAUAUGAUCAAUACAAGGUCCAAUCCAGAACCUAAAGAGCAAUUACUCACUUUUUUUUAACGAAAAUUAACUUGUCUUUUAUUCAAUUUUCGUGUCCUAUAUAUAGGUAGGAGGGACACUUGCUGAAUUACAAAGAAAAAUGCAAAUAGCUCUUAGGAUUCCUUCAGCCAAAUUAAUCUAUCAUUAUUUCCUAUGGCUGAAGUAAAUUAACAUGAAUACAAGAAAUGGUUACAAGACAAAUCAAUGAAUGAGGGUGGCUGGUCUUGAUGAUCAUGAUGAUGGACGUGAAUUUGAUGAUGAUGGUGGUUUCAUAUGCUGAAAUGAAAUGCCUUCAUUGUCUCAUUGAAGUCUUGUCCCUUUCCUCUUCAAAAUGGAUUAAACACACAAAAUAACCAUACUUAGUGUUUUUGGACCAAAAUUGGUCUCUUACACUUUUUAUUAUAACAUAACAAGAACAACUAAAUAAAAUGGGCAGCAAGAGAUGCGCCCCACCCCUCCUCCAAUGGUUUGAUGCACAUGACCAUUUUAUCCUCCAUGCUUUCUAGUGUAGGUUUGGACUCCAAGACUUUUGCCACCAAUUGAGUUAGGGCCUCCUUAGCUUUCUUGGUUCUCGACCUUGUCAUUGGUCCUCCUAGCCCUUGAAUUGAAGCACUUGUGUCAUGGACAACCAUGCCCUCAUCAUUGAGUAACUCGCGAGGCGAGCCACUCUACUCGCAAUGGCGAGUUCAGAAAAAGGGGUACUCACUAUGGCGAGCAAGCUACUCGUCGUGGCGAGCUAAAACUGAUGGCUCUCGGGAGUUUGAUAUUUUUCACUCAAAAAUCCCAUUUUUAACUUCCUUAUGCCCAAACUUAAUCCAAAAACUUUCCUACUCAUUUCUAAACAUGUUAAGGCACUCAAAACCAUCUAAAAUUUGACCCCUAACAUUAAUUCACAAAAUCAUGUUUUUCUCACUGAGUAACUCGCUAUGGCGAGCGAUUUACUCGCAAUGGCGAGCGACAACUUGGUUUACUCGCGAGGCGAGAACAGCUACUCGCUAUGGCGAGUGAUGAAUGUCAGCUCUACGGGCAGAAUGCAGUUUUUCCAAAAACUCACCUAAUUCCAUAACUCUAACCUUAAAACUGAUUCUAAUCAUUGUUCUAUGAAUAAUCUAAGGUCUGGACACUAUUUCUACAUCAAUUCAAUAGAUUCCUACUCUUAAAUUAAUCAAUUUCCAACUUCUAAACCUAAUUCCCAAAUUUCCAAAACUACAACCUACAACUUGUUAAAUUCGAUUUUUAGAAUUAUAUCACUUAAAAUUAGAGAAAGUUAGUCCCACCCUUACCUUAGAUUGAUCGAAAGCUUCUCCUCCCUGGUUCUCCUAUUCUCUUGGUUUUCUCCCUUUUUCUCCAAAAACAGGUUUCAUGUGAAAAACUAUCUGACCCUAGUUUUUUCUAUUUAUUUCCUCAACCUACGUUAUCUUAUUCCACUAAACUCUUCUAAAUUCCAAAAUAGCCACUCAACUUAAUAUUAUUUUAUUUUCAAAUCUUAUUCUAUUAAAUAAUAAAAUAAAGUCACUUAAUAAAAGCAACAACAGAUGAUGAGAUAAAACCACAAGUGCACGGUCUUACCGAAGUAGUAAUAAAGAGUAUCGUUCCGACAUGGAGUAGUUUAAUUUAGUUAACCUUUAGAAAUGAUUAGGAGAGAGAAGAGGUUGUAAAUUGGGGGUUUUUAAACGGUUGAAAGCAAUAUAAUAAAAGAGCCUUGGGAUCGUUGGUUUCAUCUAAAUAACAAGUCCUUCCCAAACCAAAACCAUAAGCUUAUAAUGUUAUGUUAGACCUAAUUUCUCAAGACAGUUUCUCUUAAGUUCCUCUAGCAACCAAGCCUAUUUCACUGACUUGAUUACUAUUGGAUUUUGGUUCCUCUAACAACCAAGCCUAUUUCGCUGACUUGAUUGUUAUUAGUUCCCUUGAAGAUCGAAACUAUAUGUCUCAAAGAUUGCAAAGCCUAUUUCGCUGACUUUGCAAUCCUUGUCUGAAUUCACUUGUUCGAAUAUCAAAGCUCCACUUUCGUUUUAUGAAUUGAUAUUUGGAAUAAUGGACGAACAAUUAUCAAACCCUUCACUUUCGUUUCCACAGUUUGAUAAUGGUUAAUCCAUGUUAAGACGGUGAAUUCAGAUAAGAAAUUAGGGUUACAUAAGAUUAAGGCUUAGGGCUUGGUUUGAUUAGGAUUAUGUCAUUUAGACUUAUCCAACAAUCCCAAGACAAGAAGAAGUCUACUCACUCAUGUUCAUCGUAGACAUGGGGGAGAAGAGAGAAAACAUGAAAGUAAAAGACAAUGAAAUAAAGGAAAAGAACUUUAUUUAGAAAAGCAAAUGUCACUUAUUGUAUUCCAAGUAAAGAUGAAUAUUAGUGAUGGCUAGCUACUCUAUUUACAGUACACAAUUGACUUAAAAUCUAAGCAAGUAUAUUCCUAGAAUAUUCUUCGGUAGAUUGUGCGCCAAAAUAGAAUAGCUUGGAGUCAAAGCAAAAGCAGCAAAAGGCAUCUGGAGGGUGGCACGGCCGUGCCAAGGCUAGCACGGGCCGUGCCAAGCUUCUGACUUGUGGGAGAUAUAUUUUGUUUCCCAAUCUUCAUGUUUUUGUGUCCAAUCUGCUCCAAAUCCCUUUCUUUUGCUCCAAGACUCUCUCCAUCCAAUAUUCUUCCCUGAAAUAUAAUAAAUUGCAUUUUAAAGUAAACUAUCCUAAAAAGGAAAUAAUACUAAUAUAAAAUUAUAUAAAAUCUAAACUAAAAAGCAUAUUAAAAUAACAUAUAAAUGACUGAUCAAACUCCCCCAUACUUGAAUCUUUGCUUGUCCUCAAGCAAAAGGCAUAAACAUAGUAGCAUCAAUAGUUAAAUCAAAUGACAGUUAAUUAAAGCACAUGUCUCCUCAAGGGCUUUAAUCCCAAAAUGUACACUAAUCACAAACUCAAGUAUUUCUUGAAAUCUUUAUUCUACCCAACAAUCGAGUUUCAAGUGAGUGUGUGUGUGAAGUCCAACCCUUUUCUUGCUCCUGUAUAAGAUAGGUAUAAUGAGGAAACAUGGUCUAAUCCUAGCACUAAAUUAACCAAGAAAAAUUCCUUCUACAAUUCAUAUAAGAGAGAUGGGAUUUUUUGAGAAUCUUUGUUCUUUUGCCAUAUGCACAUUUUAGGUUCUUUAUUUAAGGAACAACAUUUUCACGUAGGAGGUCGGAGGGCCUACCCCCUUCCCCGAUCUAGAUUCAAUGAUAUUCCUUAAGACAUCGUCUUCACGUAGGAAGUCGAAGGGCCUACCUCCUUCCCCAAUCUAGUUUCAACAAUGCUUUUUAAAGUUUUUUCUCAAGAUAACAAUCACCUUCACGUAGGAAGUCGGAGGGCCUACCUCCUUCCCCAAUCUAGAUUCAGUGAUGAGACCUUGGAAUUGUUUGGCUUUUUGGCUUUUUAUGAUCUCCCUUAUACUCACUUAUACUACUGGCGCUUUGAGAAUUUUUAAAGGUUAAUGCACCACUAAGAUUAGAAUGUGUUUCCUUAAAAUACCUAUUCAUACAUUUACUCAAGGGAAGCAACUUUGUGUUUUUCUCAUUGGAGAAUUUUAUUCACUUUAAAACAAGAUGUGGUUAUAUCAAGAAGACUUAAAACACAAGAAUUUGCUUUCAUGUACAAGAAUCAACAAAAUAAGAGGAGACAAUGAAAAUUUUUGUGUCAUGAUUUUUUCAAUAAAAAUUAACUACUUAACUAUGCCUUUUACAAUAAAACAGAACAAAAGAAUAAAGUUCAAGGGAGUUUGGAAACACUACGACUAAAGACACUUUAUUAGGCUCCCCCCACACUUAGGAGAAGCAUUGUCCUCAAUGAUUCAAGAUAAAAGAAAAAUAACAGAGAAGGAGAGGUAGAAGAGUGAGAUAGAGAUGAAAGAGAUAAGGUCAAAAAGAGGAAGAGGAAAGCUCACAUAUUUAUUGAGGUCCAUAGGGAGGGCCCUGAAGGUGUAAAUGUUGCAUCAUGUUCCGAAGCAUUUGGUUAUUUUCUUCGGAUAUGCGGUUGCCCCGUAGGACAUCAUUUCUUAGCCCAGAUAAUUCAACACCUUGCCUUUGUUGCUCGGUGCCUAUCCUUUGUACCUCGGUUUGCAUCCAUGCCCAUCUUUCAUUGUUGUCGUUAUGGUCAUGGGGCUCUUCUUCAUGGUGCAUGUGAGCACCCUCUUCGUCACCUUGAUUAUGCUCUUCAUGUACCUGUAAUCCAUCACCAACAUACAACAAAUUUUCCUCCACCUCGGGGUUAGUCCGAGAUGGGUUAGGAAGUAAAAACAAAAGUGGUAUGCGAAGUUGAAGUGCAUAAGUCAUGGGUGGGUGAAUCUUAAUGAAGUUCAUAGCAACAAGGGUUUCAAUGUUAAGUCUAUUGUUGCCCUCAAUUGGAUUUAUCCCAUCUUCUUCACUUACUCCAAACUUUCUAGCGAUGAAGGUAAUGAUACCACCGACUACUAUCUCAGCUCUAUUGUCAGGUCUAGCUCCUAUGGAGGAAAGGUAGUCAAGUAGGUAGAAACAAGUAUUAACGGGAUUGUUAUUAAGCAUUGCCCAAAGCAUAAAAAGUUCAUCCGUCCUAGUUGUUCCUACUUCUUUUCUACCCCAAAUUGUACAAGCCAUGACUCUCUGGAGGCAUAUAAGCACGGGGUUGUGAAUGUUACUAGCUUUGUUGUUGCGAGGAUUGUAUUGCCUUAACCCGGUAAUGCGUUUCCAAAAGAGAGCGGGGUCAUAGUGUUCCGACUUUAAAUUUGGAUUCCAAGAGUCAUGGAUGAACCCCGCAUUUGCGAAGUCCAUCUCUAAACAGAAAUUUUCAAGAGACAUCUCAUAAUCCAUAUUCAAAAGUCGGAAGGAAACUCUAUGAUUGGGGUUGUCAAAGUUCACCUUAUCCUUCGUAAAUUCAAUAGAACUUAAGAAUUCAUAAGUGAAAUUUUCGAAGCCCUUCAUAGGUCUAAGCAUAUCAACCCAUCCUAAAUUUCCUAGUAAGCUAAACACAUUAUCCCUUAGUCCUAGCACACUCAAAGUAUAAGGAUCUGGAUAUCGACAAGGAUGCAAAGGUUUAGAGAGAAGAAUUUUAUACCUAUCCCUUUGCUUGGUGUCCUUGAAGAUUAUUCCAUGAUUCUUGGCUUGAGUUUUCUUCUUUUGUUGUGGUCCUCCAGAAGAGCUUCCUCCACCUUUCCUCGAUGCCAUUUAGCCGGAACCUUGGGUGACCGUUUGUGUUUUGGGUGGGGGUGGGGUUUUGGGAAAUGUUUUGAGUAGAAAAGGUUGGUUGGGUAAUGGGGUUGGGGUUGAGUAAGUGAUAGGAGUUGGAUUGGGUGAAUUGAUGAAGAAUUUGUGGGUUUUUUAGGUAGGUGAAUGGGGGCUACGAAUUUGAUGAUAUUCGGGAGGGAUGGAGGAAAGUUGUUUUUGAUUGAUGGGUUAUGUUUGGAAUGGGUUUGUGAUUGAUUGGGUGAAGGAAUUAUGUGAAAUGGUGAGGUUUUGGGGGAGAUAUGGAAGCUUUGAAAUUCUAAGGCUAAGGAGGUUUUUGAGAGUAGUGUAAAUGGAGAGAGAGUUUGUGGUGGAGAAUGAGGGAAGAAGAAGAUGAAAAGGUGGGUUUAUCCUUACCUGUAGUCGGGCACGGCCGUGCCAACCUUAGCACGGGCCGUGCCAACAUUCUGGAGUUUUGGCUGGUUUUGGAUGGGUAUGGUUUGGCACGGCCGUGCCAAGGUUCUGGAUAGUGGCCUCAAAAUUUUUCUUGUUUUGCUUGAAUCACCUUCGGACGAUUACCUACAAAAUAACUUAAAAACAAAAACGAAAGCAGUUAAAUACGUGGGUUGCCUCCCACGAAGCGCUUCUUUAUAGUCAUUAGCUUGACGUUGAAAGAAAGUGUCCUUAGAAUGGAUCAAAGAGGUCAUGUUGUGUAGAUGGCGCUAAUAAGCGUUCUUUCACUUUAUGACCUUUAAUCAUAUUACAAGAGUAGAGGGCGGGACCUUUCAUAUAAUUCUCCAACUCAAAUCCUAUCAACUCAUUACUCACUUGAAAAACAAUCCUACCGUUUUGAACAUCUACUAUAGCACCCGCAGUGGCGAGAAAGGGUCGUCCUAAGAUUAUAGGGCAUGCAUUGUCCUCAUCUAUGUCAAGCACCAUGAAAUCAGUUGGGACUUCCAUCCCUUCUAUUUUAACGGGGACGUCCUCGACAUAUCCGACAGGUUGUAUAUCAGAACGAUCGGCUAAUUUCAAUGUUGUGUCGGUAGGUCUUAGCUUGCCCAACCCCAGCCUUGUAAAGAGGGGUAGGGGCAACAGACUAACACUAGCUCCUAAGUCACAUAAGGCAUGGUUGAAGGAUUCAUUCCCUAUCAUACAAGGGAUGGCAAAACUUCUGGGAUCUCUAAGCUUAGUAGGUGGCUUCUUGAUGAUUGUACUAGUGUCCCUUGUCAAAGCUACUGUUUCAUUUUCAUCUAUAGCCUUUUUCUUUGAAAAAAUUUUCUUUAAAAGCUUGGCGUAUAGAGGCAUACGAGACAAGGCUUCAGCAUAGGGGAUUUUAACGCAAAUCAUUCGAAUUAUGUUAAAGAGUUUAGUGAAUUGAGCCUUCGAGUUGAGCUUAGUAGGCCUUAGAGGUGUUGGGGCUUUGUUUUUAUCAAGCGGUUUCUCACUUUUUAUCACACCAUUCUUACCUAGACACCUGACACUCUCCUUCUUGACAUUUUUAGCUUUAGUAACAGUCUCUUCUAUCUUACUACCCCCUAGAAAAAUAGCGUUGACAUGGGCUUUGGGGUUUGUUUCAGGUUGACCGGGAAGGACUCUCGGUGUUUGAGAAGAGGUGGCCACUUGCUGGGCCACUUGGGAGAUUUGGGUCUCAAGCAUUUUGGUGUGUGUGGCGAUGGAGUCAACCUUGGUAUUGAGCUUGGAGAGAGAGUCGUUCAGAGAUCCUGUUUGGUUUUUUAACUCUUGAAGUUGUUUAUUUUGAUUCAUCAUGCAAUUUUCCAACAUUAUUUCCAAACUAGAUUUCUGAGCCACUCUCUGGUUGUUUGUAUAGCCAGGUGGUGCUGUUUGCCCAUAGGAACCUUGAGGAUUUUUGUAAAAAUUUUGAUUUGGCCUCAUUCCUUGGUUAUAUUGAGCGUAAUUUAGUUGCUCAAUAUUGGCAGCACUACUUAACUGACAAUCAACACCUGUAUGACCAGUUAUACCACAGACUUCACAAGUAGGGGAUGCAGGAGAAGGUGGGACAGCAUUAACAUUAAGUUUUUCAAUUUUUUGUGUUAAUGCCUCAACCUUAGCAGCAAGGUGGUUAUAUUCAGAGACUUCGUAUAUACCUGCCUCUUUCUUAGAGGGAGUAGGAGUGGUGACGGCUCUUUCGUUGGUCCAUUGAUAGUGAUUUUGAGCCAUGUCCUCAAUCAAAGCGUAAGCCUCCGUGUAGUUUUUGUUCAUUAGUGCUCCACCUGCAGCUGCAUCAACAGACAUUUUAGUGGUAUAAGUCAAGCCAUUAAAAAAUGUGUGGACUAUAAGCCACUUCUCUAGGCCAUGGUGGGGACAAAGUCUAAGCAUUUCCUUGAAACCCUCCCACGCCUCAUAGAGAGACUCCCCAUCUUUUUGAUUGAAACGCGUAAUUUGGUCUCUAAGCUUAGCUGUUUUAGAUGGGGGAAAGAAUCGGGCGAGGAAUGCUCGCCUCAUAUCGUCCCAUGAAGUAAUGGAACCGACUUCUAGGGAAUGGAACCAAGCGCUAGCUCUAUCCCUUAAGGAAAAGGGAAAGAGAUGAAGUCUUACGGCUUCUUGGUUCUCUUUAAUGGUGCCACUGAGUCUAAGGAAGGAAGAAAUAUGGAGAUUUGGAUCCUCAGUGGGUGAUCCAGAAAACUGGUUUUGUUGCACUAAAUUGAGUAGUGCAGGCUUGAUUUCGAAGUUAUUACCCCCAACCGUUGGGUACACGAUAAUAGCUUGUGGCUCUUCCGUUGAAGGAGUAGCAUACUCUUUGAGAGUGCGUUCAGCCAUAGCGGUAUUAUUUUGUGCCUCUCUCUUUUUCUUAUGCAAAAACCUUUUGAUCUCAGGAAUAAAUUCUCCGAGACUUUUACUUCUUCGCAUAAGAAACCGAGAACCCAAGAAGUUAGUGGUAAAAACAAAAAGAAAGAAAAAUAGAAGAGAAGAGGAAGAGAAAAGAGAAGAGAGUUCUAAUCACUAGGAAAGAGUUAAUUAAAUUAGUUUACUCCCCGGCAGCGGCGCCAAAAACUUGAUGAGAUAAAACCGCAAGUGCACGGUCUUACCGAAGUAGUAAUAAAGAGUAUCGUUCCGACAGGGAGUAGUUUAAUUUAGUUAACCUUUAGAAAUGAUUAGGAGAGAGAAGAGGUUAUAAAUUGGGGGUUUUUAAACGGUUGAAAGCAAUAUAAUAAAAGAGCCUUGGGAUCGUUGGUUUCAUCUAAAUAACAAGUCCUUCCCAAACCAAAACCAUAAGCUUAUAAUGUUAUGUUAGACCUAAUUUCUCAAGACAGUUUCUCUUAAGUUCCUCUAGCAACCAAGCCUAUUUCGCUGACUUGAUUACUAUUGGAUUUUGGUUCCUCUAACAACCAAGCCUAUUUCGCUGACUUGAUUGUUAUUAGUUCCCUUGAAGAUCGAAACUAUAUGUCUCAAAGAUUGCAAAGCCUAUUUCGCUGACUUUGCAAUCCUUGUCUGAAUUCACUUGUUCGAAUAUCAAAGCUCCACUUUCGUUUUAUGAAUUGAUAUUUGGAAUAAUGGACGAACAAUUAUCAAACCCUCCACUUUCGUUUCCACAGUUUGAUAAUGGUUAAUCCAUGUUAAGACGGUGAAUUCAGAUAAGAAAUUAGGGUUACAUAAGAUUAAGGCUUAGGGCUUGGUUUGAUUAGGAUUAUGUCAUUUAGACUUAUCCAACAAUCCCAAGACAAGAAGAAGUCUACUCACUCAUGUUCAUCGUAGACAUGGGGGAGAAGAGAGAAAGCAUGAAAGUAAAAGACAAUGAAAUAAAGGAAAAGAACUUUAUUUAGAAAAGCAAAUGUCACUUAUUGUAUUCCAAGUAAAGAUGAAUAUUAGUGAUGGCUAGCUACUCUAUUUAUAGUACACAAUUGACUUAAAAUCUAAGCAAGUAUAUUCCUAGAAUAUUCCUCGGUAGAUUGUGCGCCAAAAUAGAAUAGCUUGGAGUCAAAGCAAAAGCAGCAAAAGGCAUAUGGAGGGUGGCACGGCCGUGCCAAGGCUAGCACGGGCCGUGCCAAGCUUCUAACUUGUGGGAGAUAUAUUUUGUUUCCCAAUCUUCAUGUUUUUGUGUCCAAUCUGCUCCAAAUCCCUUUCUUUUGCUCCAAGACUCUCUCCAUCCAAUAUUCUUCCCUGAAAUAUAAUAAAUUGCAUUUUAAAGUAAACUAUCCUAAAAAGGAAAUAAUACUAAUAUAAAAUUAUAUAAAAUCUAAACUAAAAAGCAUAUUAAAAUAACAUAUAAAUGACUCAUCAACAGACCACAUAAUCAUUUAAAUCACAUAAAUGAUUCAAAUAGUAAGGACAGAAGACGCAUAAAUGAUUCAAAUAGAACCUCUUAAGGUUCCACAUAAGUUCAAGACAAUGUUUUAAAGUUUUGAGCUAUCACAACCCUUAUAGUUCCAGAGUUAUUCAUUAUACAAUUGAUGAGAUAAAACCGCAAGUGCACGGUCUUACCGAAGUAGUAUGAAAAGAGUAUCGUUCCGACAGGGAGUAGUUUAAUUCAAUUAACCUUUGGAAAUGAUUAGAGAAGAAAAGAAUUGCAAGUUGGGGUUUUCAAGCGUUUGAAAGAUAAUAAUAAUAAAAGGAGCCUUGGGAUCAUUGGUUUCAUCUAAAUAACAAGUCCUUCACAAACCAAACUAAAAGCUUAUAACUUUAUGUUAGACCUAAUUUCUCAAGACAGUUUCUCUUAUGUUCCUCUAGCAAGCAAGCCUAUUUCGCUAACUUGAUUACUAUUAGAUUUUGGUUCCUCUAACAACCAAGCCUAUUUCGCUGACUUGAUUAUUAUUAGUUCCCUUGAAGAUCGAAACUAUAUGUCUCAAAGAUUUCAAAGACUAUUUCGCUGCCUUUGAAAUCCUUGUCUAAAUUCACUUGUUCGAAUAUCAAAGCUCCACUUUCGUUUUAUGAAUUGAUAUUUGAGAUGAUGGAUAAACAAUUAUCAAACCCUCCACUUUCGUUUCCACAGUUUGAUAAUGGUUAAUCCAUGUUAAAGCGGUGAAUUUAGAUAAGAAAUUAGGGUUACAUAAGAUUAAGGCUUAGAGCUUCGCUUGAUUAGGAUUAUGUCAUUUAGACUUAUCCAACAAUCCGAAGACAAGGAGAAGUCUACUCACUCAUGUUCAUCGUAGACAUGGGGGAGAACAGAGAAAGCAUAAAAGUAAAUGACAAGAAAAUAAAGGAAAAGAAAAGAACUUUAAUUAGAAAGCAAUUGUCACUUAUUGAAUUCCAAGUAAAGAUGAAUAUUUGUGAUGGAUGGCUACUCUAUUUAUAGCAUACAUUCGACUUAAAAUCUAAGUGAUUACAUUACUGGAAUGUUCCACAAGAAACUGCGGGCUAAAAUAGAGUAGCUUAAAAUCUAAGCAAAAGCAGCAAAAGUAACUCUGGAGGGUGGCACGGCCGUGCCAAUGCUAGUACGGGCCAUGCCAAGCUUCUGACUUUGGGGAGACAUAUUUUUGUCUCUCAAUCUUCGUAUUUUCGCACCGAAUCAGCUCCAAGUCCCUUUCUUUUGCUUCAAGACUCAAUCCAUCCAAUAUUCUUUCCUGAAAUAAAAUAGAAUGCAAUUUGUAGUAAACUAUCCUAAAAAGGAAAUAAUACUAAUAUAAAAUAAAAUAAAAUAUAAUUAAAACUAAACUAAAUAACAUAUAAAAAUAGGUAAUAAAUGACUCAUCAAACUCCCACACACUUGAAUCUUUGCUUGUCCUCAAGCAAAAUGCAUAGACAUGGCAGCAACAAAAAAGGAUUAAUAUAUGACAAUUCAAAUAAAAGCUUAUGUCUCCUUCGAGGUUUCAUUUCAAUGUACACUAAUCACAACUUCAAGUAUUCCUUGAGAACUUAUUCAACCCAACAUCAAGUCUUAAGUGAGUGUGUGUGUGUGUAGUCCAACCUUUUUCUUGCUCCUGUAUAAGAUAGAUAUUAUGAGGAACAGGUUCUAACCUUAACACUAAAGUGACCGAGAAAAAUCCUUUCUUCAUUUCAUAUAAGAGAGAUGGGAGAGUUUAGAUAGAUUUGAUAAUUUAGACACUUGGGGGCUUGUAGAUGCCUAAGGGCUAUCAUUUCACAUUGGAAGUCCGCGAGGGGGUAUCCAUUCCUCCAAGUUUCCAUGAUCACCCUAAGUAGUGCUACAACUUAUUCAUCUUCACUUAGGAAGUUCCUCUUUUUAGAGGGUUUAAUUUAAGCACAAUUUGUUUGAGAAGUCAUCACCAUAUUUAGGAAGUCAGUGUGGGGGUAUCCUUUCCUCCACGUGCUGGUGAUAUUCUUCUGCCCCAUUUUGGUUUACACAUUACAGCACAUUAGAAUUAUUCCCACACAAACUUAUACUACUUUUACUCUGAAGAUUUUUAAGGGUCCAAGUUACCAUUAAAGUUAGAACGUGUUCCUUAAAAUACCUAUUCAUACACUUACUCAAGGAUUGCAACUAGGUGCUUUUCUCAUUAGAGAAUUUUCACAAUAAAACUUGAUGUGGGUAUAGCAAGAACACUUGCAACACAAGAAAUCACUUUCAUGUACAAGAAACGACCAUUGAAGAGACAACAAAAAAUUUAUGUCAUAAUAAAAUAAUAAAAAGAAGCUACUUAUUCAUGCCUUUUACAAUAAAACAAAACAAAAGAAUAAAGUUCAAGGGAGUUUGGAAACACUACUACUAAAGACACUUUAUUUAGGCUCGCCCCACACUUAGGAGAAGCAUUGUCCUCAAUGAUUCAAGAUAGAAGAAAGAGAAGAAGGAGAAGAAUGAGAUAGAGAUUGAAGAGAUAAGGUGAAAAAGAGGAAGAGGAAAGCUCACAUUUUUAUUGAGUUCCAUAGGGAGGACCUUGGAGGUGGAAAUGUUGCAUCAUGUUCUGAAGCAUUUGGUUAUUCUCUUCGGAUAUGCGGUUGCCUCUUAGGACAUCAUUCCUUAGCCUGGAUAAUUCAACACCUUGCCUUUGUUGCUCGGUGCUUAUCCUUUGUACCUCAGUUUGCAUCCAUGCCCAUCUUUCAUUGUUGGCAUUAUGGUCAUGGGGCUCCUCUUCAUAGUGCAUGUUUGCACCGUCUUCUUCACCUUGAUUAUGCUCUUCAUGUACCUGUAAUCCAUCACCAACAUACAACAAAUUUGCCUCCACCUCGGUGUUAGUCCGAGAUGGGUUAGGAAGCAGAAACAAAAGAGGUAUACGAAGUUGAAGUGCAUAAGUCAUGGGUGGAUGAAGCUUAAUGAAAUUCAUAGAUACAAGGGUUUCAAUAUUAAGCCUAUUGUUGCCCUCGAUUGGAUUUAUUCCUUCGGCUUCACUCACUCCAAACAUCCUAGCGAUGAAGGUGAUGAUACCACCAACUACUAUCUCAGCUCUAUUAUCAGGUCUAGCACCUAUGGAGGAAAGGUAAUCAAGUAGGUAGAAGCAAGUAUGAACGAGGUUGUUACUAAGCAUUGCCCAAAGCAUAAAGAGUUCAUCCGUCCUAGUUGUUCCUACCUCUUUUCUACCACAAAUGGUACAAGCCAUGACUCUUUGGAGGUAUCUAAGCACUGGGUUGUGAAUGUUACUAGCCUUAUUGUUGCGAGGAUUAUAUUGCCUUAACCCGGUAAUGCGUUUCCAAAAGCGAGCGGGGUCAUAGUCUUCCGACUUUAGAUUUGGAUUCCAAGAGUCAUGGAUGAACCCCGCAUUUGCGAAGUCCAUCUCUAAACAAAAAUUUUCAAGAGACAUCUCGUAAUCUAUAUUCAAAAGUCGGAAGGAGACUCUAUGGUCGGGGUUAUCAAAGUUUACUUUAUCCUUCGUAAAUCCAAUAGAACUUAAGAAUUCAUAAGUGAAAUUUUCAAAACCUUUCAUAGGUCUAAGCAUAUCAACCCAUCCUAAAUUUCCAAUUAAGCUAAACACAUUAUCCCUUAGUCCUAGCACACUCAAAGUAUAAGGAUCAGGAUAUCGACAAGGGUGCAACGGUUUAGAGAUAAGAAUAUUAUACCUGUCCCUUUGCUUAGUGUCCUUGAAGAUUAUGCCAUGAUUCUUGGCUUGCGUUUUCUUCUUUGAUUGUGGUCCUCCGGAAGAGCUUGCUCCACCUUUUCUAGAUGCCAUUAUCCUUAACCUUGGUUUGACCUUUUGUGAUGGUGGUAAAGGUUGGUUUAGUGAUGGGGUUAAGGGUUAAGUGAGUUUUAAGAGUUGGGUUGUGGAGUUUGGUGAUGAAUUUGUGGAUUUUGGGUUAGGUUAAUGGGGGUUACGAAUUUGGGUGAUUUUGGUUUGGAUGGAUGAAAGUUGUUUUUGAAUGGUGUGUUAUGAUUGGAAUGGUGUUUGUGAUUGAUGGGGUAAAGAAAUGGUGUGAAUUGGUGAAGUUUUGAGGGAGAUAUGGAGUUUUGAGGGAGAUAUGGAGUUUUGAGGUUUUGUGGUUAUGGAGGUUUUAGAGAAAGAAUGGAAGGAUGAGAGAUAUUUGUGGCGGGCACGGCCGUGCCAGCCUUAGCACGGGCCUUGCCAACUUCCUGGAUUGUGGAAUGGUUUUUGGAAGGCAAGGUCUGGAACGGCCGUGCCAGUGUGAGCACGGGCCGUGCCAAGGUUCUGGAUAAAUUGGCUUCAAAAUUUUCCGUGUUCUCGAAUCAUACUCGGACAAUUACCUACAAAACAAUUAAAAAAACAAAACAAAACAAAAGCAGUUAAAUUCGUGGGUUGCCUCCCACGAAGCGCUUUUUUAUAGUCAUUAGCUUGACGUUUUAAGAAAGUGUCCUUAGAAGGAAUCAAAGAGGUCAUAUCAUGUAGAUGACGCUAAUGAGCGUUCUUUCACAACAUGACCUUUAAUCAUGUUACAAGAAUAGAGAGCGGGACCUUUCAUAAAAUUCUCCAACUCAAACCCUAUCAGCUCAUCACUCACUUGAAAAACCAUUCUACCAUUCUGAACAUCUGCUAUAGCACCCGCAGUAGCGAGAAAGGGUCGUCCUAAAAUUAUAGGGCACUCAUUGUCCUCAUCUAUGUCAAGCACCAUGAAAUCAGUUGGGAUAUGUAUCCCUUCUAUUUUAACGGGGAUGUUGUUGGAACAAAAUGUGUUUCACAAUAAGCCUUAAUGAGUUUUGAUGAUAACAAGGUAUUAAAAAUUGUCAAUUGGUUAUUGCUAAUAAUUGUUCAAGUGUACAGGACCAUAGGCAAAGUUAAUCAAUUUCAAUAGGUCUUGGAAGAACAAUAGAGAGCAAAGGAAUCUAAAGCAUCUGAAGAAAAUUGCGUCUGAAAUAAUCUAAAGCAUCUGAAGUAGCAAGUGCCUCUGAAGUAAUGAUGUCAUCAGAAGCAGAAGUUCAUCAGAAGCAGAAGUCCAUCAGAAGCAAGAUUUCAUCAGAAGCUAUAUCAUCACCAGAAGCUACAGUUGAUCAGAAUAUUUUAAACUGAAGUUUCAAAGGAGCUGUUUUUCGUUUUAACCUCGUCUAAGAGAACGAUGAAUUAAAAGGGAGGUACCAACGGUCAUUUGAAAAGCACUGGGUGUUUGUCCUUCUUUGAAGAGUUGACAAAGUACAAGUGUACAACCACUACCUCCACUACUCUGUUUUUUUGUCUAUGCUACAAGACAAGACAACAGCUCUGCCUGCAGAAAUGAUCCUUCAAGAUAGGAAUGAAUUUGAAGUUGAUCCUUCAUAGGACUACACCCAAAUCAGGCAAAAGAUUACUGGUGGAUGAUCAAAGGAACUCAACGACUCUUUAGACGUGCUAAAAAUCUCAACGUCUCUCUACUCACCACUGUAUAAAGGAGUGAAGACUUGAAGAUUAGCAGGAGACAUCAACACAAGUUAAAAGCGCCAAAACUCUGCCAAAUUUGAUUCUAAAAAGCACUUUGAAUUUCUGCACCGAUUUGAUAUAUCUUAGAAAUUCUUAAGUCUAGAGUCUUUAUUGCAUUGUAUUGUGAACACCACUGAUUGUAUAUCAAGUGUUCAAAGUCAAACAAUUUUCUGUGUAAUUUUGUUUGAUUAGAAGUCUCUCGCCUGCGUGCUUGACGAUUAGAAGACUCUUGCUUUAGUGCUUGAGCAUUGGAAGUCUCUCGCCUGCGUGCUUGAGCAUUUGAGAAGUCUCAUACUAGAGAGUAUUAAGCAUUUGUAAUCUGUGUGAUUAUUUUUAGUGGAAAUCUCCUUGGAAGUGCAAGGGGGACUGGACUACUUCCGAUUUGUGGAAGGAACCAGGAUAAUUGCUUGUGUCUCUCUUUCUUUUCUCUGCUCUGUUUUUAUUCCGCUGCAUAUCUGAUUCUGAACAUCACAUCAGAAGCAUUCCUAACCAGCUUCUGAAGUGAUAUCAGAAGAAGAAUUUUUUAGAGAGAAAGAAAACACAAUUCAACCCCCCCUUCUUGUGUUUUUCUCACCUUCAGAUUUCUUCAACAUAUCCGACAGGUUGGAUAUCAGAACGAUCGGCUAACUUCAAUGUUGUUUUGGUAGGUUUUAACUCCCCUAUUCCCAGCCUUUUAAAGAGGGGUAAGGGCAACAGACUAACACUAUCUCCUAAAUCACAUAAGGCUCGAUUUAAGGUUUCACUCCUUAUCAUACAAGGGAUGGCAAAACUUCCUGGAUCUCUAAGCUUUGGAGGUGGCUUCUUGAUGGUUGCACUUAUUUCUCUUGUCAAAGCUAUUGUCUCAUUUUGCUCUAUAGCCUUUUUCUUUGAAAAAAUGUCUUUUAAAAACUUGGCAUAUAGAGGCAUACGAGACAAAGCUUCAGCAAAGGGAAUCUGAAUGCAAAUCUUUUUAAGUAUGUUUAAGAAUUUAUUAAAUUGAGCCUCCAAGUUAAGCUUAACGAGCCUUAAUGGGGAAAUGGCUUUGUUUUCUUCAUGUGAUUUCUCUAUCGCAUCCUUCUCACCUAGAAGCUUAACAAUCUCUCCCUUGACACUUUUGGCUUUAGAAACGGUCUCUUUUAACCUACUACCCCCAGGAGAAAUAGCAUUGACAUGAGCUUUGGGGUUUGUUUCAGGUUGACCGGGAAAGACUCCUGGUGUUUGAGAAGAGGUGGCCACUUGUUGGACCACUUGGGAGCUUUGGGUUUCGAGCAUCUUGGUGUGUGUGGCGAUAGAAUCAACCUUAGUAGUGACUUUGGAGAGAGAGUCGUUCAGAAAUCCCGUUUGGUUUUUCAGUUCUUGAAGUUGUUUAUUCUGAUUCAUCAUGCAAUUUUCCAACAGAAUUUCCAAACUAGAUUUCUGAGCCACCCUCUGGUUGUUUGUAUAGCCAGGUGGUGCUACUUGCCUAUAGGAACCUUGAGGGUUUUUGUAAAAGUUUUGAUUUGGCCUCGUUCCUUGGUUGUAUUGUGCAUAAUUCAUUUGCUCAAUACUAUUAGUAGCACUAUCUAACUGUCAAUCAACACCAAUAUGACCAAAUAUACCACAGAUUUCACAAGGAGGAGAUGUAGGUGAAGGUGUGACAGCAUUAACAUUAAGUUUUUCAAAUUUUUGAGUUAAGGCAUCAACCUUAGCAGCGAGGUGAUCAUAAUCGGAGAAUUCGUACAUACCUGCCUCCUUUUUGGAGAGUGUAGAGGUGGUGAUGGCUCUUUCGUUGGUCCAUUGGUAGUGAUUCUGAGCCAUGUCUUCAAUCAAUGUGUAAGCCUCCGUAUAGUUCUUGUUCAUUAGUGCUCCACCUGCAGCUGCAUCAACAGACAUCUUAGUGGUAUAUGUUAGGCCAUUAUAAAAAGUGUGGACUGUGAGCCACUUUUCUAGACCAUGGUGGGGACAAAGUCUAAGCAUUUCCUUGAAACGCUCCCACGCAUCAUAGAGAGACUCCCCAUCUUUUUGGUUGAACCGCGCGAUUUGGUCUCUUAAUUUGGUGGUUUUGGAAGGGGGAAAGAAUCGGGCAAGGAAUGCUCGCCUCAUUUGAUCCCAUGAAGCGAUAGAACCAACUUAUAGGGAAUGGAACCAAGCGCUAGCUGUAUCCCUUAAGGAGAAGGGAAAGAGAUGAAGUCUUACGGCUUCUUGGUUCUCUUUUAUGGUGCCACUGAGUCUAAGGAAGGAAGAAAUAUGGAGAUUUGGAUCCUCAGUGGGUGAUCCAGAAAACUGAUUUUGCUGCACCAAAUUGAGUAGUGCAGGCUUGAUCUCGAAAUUGUUACCCUCAACCGUCGGGUACACGAUAAUAGUUUGUGGCUCUUCCGUUGAACGAGUAGCAUACUCUUUGAGAGUGUGUUCAGCCAUAGCAAUAUUAUUUUGUGCCUCUCUCUUUUUUUUAUGCAAAUAUCUUUCAAUCUCAGGAAUAAAUUCUCCUAGACUUUUACUUCUUCGCAUAAGAAAUCGAGAACCCAAGAAGUUAAUGGUAACAGAAAGAAAGAAGUAGAAGAAAAGAGGGAGAAGAAAGAGUUCUAAUCACAAAGAAAGAGUUAAUUAAAUUAGUUAACUCCCCGGCAGCGGCGCCAAAAACUUGAUGAGAUAAAACCGCAAGUGCACGGUUUUACCGAAGUAGUAUGAAAAGAGUAUCGUUCCGACAGGGAGUAGUUUAAUUCAAUUAACCUUUGGAAAUGAUUAGAGAAGAAAAGAAUUGCAAGUUGGGGUUUUCAAGCGUUUGAAAGAUAAUAAUAAUAAAAGGAGUCUUGGGGUCGUUGGUUUCAUCUAAAUAACAAGUCCUUCACAAACCAAACGAAAAGCUUAUAACUUUAUGUUAGACCUAAUUUCUCAAGACAGUUUCUGUAACGCCCUAGUCGUUAUUUAAUUAUUUUUGAUUUAUUUGGAGCUUCAUAUAUGAUUUUAUGUGAUUUUUGGUGAUUUAUGUGGUGUGUUUAUUUUAUUAUAUGGUUUAUUUUAUUAAUAAUUAGAAUAAGUGGGGAAGAUAAUUAAUUAGAGUUUUGGGGGUUAUGUUAGAAUUUAAUAGAAUUAAGGGGGAGUAAAUAGAAUAGAGAGGAGUUAAGAAAGGAGUUAAGAAAGAAAGAAAAAGUCAGAAAACGUUUUUACGUGUAACUGUCAGUUUUUGGGAGAAUAGGAGAGAAGAGCAAGGAGAGCCAAGGUUGUCAUUUUCUGUACUGAUUUUUCUGCAAAACUAAGGUAAGGGUGAGGUUUACCGCAAUCUUAUAGGUUCUGAAUUCUGAUUUUGUUUUUAACAGGUUUAUGUGAGAAUUGGGAGAAGUUAGGUUUUGUUAAAUUAAUGGGUUUUGAGAGUAGGAACCACUGAAUUGGUGUUAUGAAUGGGUUAUGGGUGCAUAUAACUUCUCAUUGCAUAUCUGUAAGCUAAUUUGGGGAGUGAAUUGGAGGAAAAUGGGAUUUUUGGGAAAAACCUGCAUUCUGCCCGUACAGAAGUUCAUCGCUCGCCUCGCGAGUAGCCUUUGAUCGCCAAGGCGAGUGAGCAACUUCAUGGCUCGCCUCGCGAGUGAGACAACUCGCCAUGGCGAGUACCCUUGAGAAAAUCUCGAUUUUUGAAGUGUUGUUACAAGCCGUAUUUUGGGUAGUUUUAUGUACCUAGAUGACUUUAGAGAGGAUUGCAGCAAGUUUUAGAUUAAAAGGGUGAAUAGGGAGCUUAGAAUUGAUGAUUUAGUGAGAAAAUGCCAAAACUCCCGAGAGAACCAUGUUCCUGUUCGCCUCAAGUUCGCCUCGAACUCGCCAUGGCAAGUGCCUUAGUUCCUAAGCUCGCCAUAGCGAGCAGAUGUGCUCGCGAGGCGAGCUGCCCAGUAUUUUGUUGGAUUGUUUUCUGUUGUGGAUGGUUGAUUUAUCUUGUUGAUUAAGCAUGGCUUUUAUGUUGGUGUAUUUUUCUGGAUGUAUGUUUUAUUUAAUUAAGUUAUACCUGAAUAUGGUAAAUUGGAGUGGUGUGUCAUAUACAUAUAUAUAUAUAUGCAUAAGUUGGUUGUAUGUAGAUAUACUCAAGUGGGUUAGUUGCAUAAGCAUAACAGUGGGAGAGCUUCGGCUCUGGAACGCCUUGUCGUUCAAAGUGGUGGAGCACUAGUUGCUCAAAGUGGUGUUAGUGGUGAGGACUUAGGUCCUGAAAAUGAAUGCUUUAACUAUUCUACAGCGGUGAGGGCUACGGUCCUGUUUAUGGUACCACAUGCAUGGGUGUUGUUAGAGGAGUCUUAGUGGAGCGGUGAUAAGUUGCAUGAGUCGUUAAGUGGGUUAUUAAUUACCAUUGUUGAUAAUAUUUGAAAAUGAUGAUAUUUAUAUAUUGUUGAUGAAUUAUAUGAUAGGGUGUUAGAUUCAUUUGAUGCAUUCUUUAUCUAUAUUAUUGUUGUGAAUCUCACCCCUUCUGCUUGAAAAUGUUGCCCUUCCUAUGGGUAACUUGCAGGCGAUCCUGAGUAGUUGGUGGUGGCUCAAAGUGUCUAGGGCUCUGAUACGUGGGAUGAGAUUUUAUAGUUUAAUUUCUUUCCUAUAUAUGUAUCAAAUUUUGAAUAUUGCUGUUGUAGCCCUAUUGAUGUUGGAUUUUAUGAUGUUAAGGCUUUCAUGCCAAGAAUUUAUUAUGGAGUUUUAAAACAGUAUGAAUUGUGGGUUGAUGAGAAUAUUCCGCUGCAGAUUUAAUGAUUAUUAUGAAUGUGAUGUGACAUGCCCGUUGGGUUUACUCUGAUAUUGAAUUAUUAUUACUAUUUAAUUGUUUUUGGGAACGACAAACAAUUAUCAAACCCUCCACUUUCGUUUUAUGAAUUGAUAUUUAAGAUGAUGGAUAAACAAUUAUCAAACCCUCCACUUUCGUUUCCACAGUUUGAUAAUGGUUGAUCCAUGUUAAAGCGGUGAAUUUAGAUAAGAAAUUAAGGUUACAUAAGAUUAAGGCUUAGAGCUUGGCUUGAUUAGGAUUAUGUCAUUUAGACUUAUCCAACAAUCCGAAGACAAGGAGAAGUCUACUCACUCAUGUUCAUCGUAGACAUGGGGGAGAACAGAGAAAGCAUAAAAGUAAAUGACAAGAAAAUAAAGGAAAAGAAAAGAACUUUAAUUAGAAAAGCAAUUGUCACUUAUUGAAUUCCAAGUAAAGAUAAAUAUUUGUGAUGGAUGGCUACUCUAUUUAUAGCAUACAUUCGACUUAAAAUCUAAGCGAUUACAUUACUGGAAUGUUCCACAAGAAACUGCGGGUUAAAAUAGAGUAGCUUAAAAUCUAAGCAAAAGCACCAAAAGUAACUCUGGAGGGUGGCACGGCCGUGCCAAUGCUAGCACGGGCCGUGCCAAGCUUCUGACUUUGGGGAGACAUAUUUUUGUCUCUCAAUCUUCGUAUUUUCGCACCGAAUCAGCUCCAAGUCUCUUUCUUUUGCUUCAAGACUCAAUCCAUCCAAUAUUCUUUCCUGAAAUAAAAUAGAAUGCAAUUUGUAGUAAACUAAAAUAAAAUCUAAUUAAAACUAAACUAAAUAACAUAUAAAAAUAGGUAAUAAAUGACUCAUCAACAAUCCACUUGAGAUUCUAAAAUAUAACACUAUCUAGAAAGCUAACAGAUGGGCCAUCACUUCAGUUCAAGGGUUUCACAUCAUAUAGUUCAUAUAAUAAUGAAACUGGGACAAAACCACAAAACCUGAAUAAUACUAAAGUAAUUUCUGUGUUAUGGUAUCUGAAGAAAUAAUUAGUACAUGAAUAUGUACAAGUUAAUCAAUGUACAUAUUUGAUAUUAAUGAGUACAUGAUUUACAUAUAAACAAUUAGCCAUGCAAAAUCAAACUAUAUUAUUUCUUCAGGCGACACUUAACAUCUCUAUAGUGUAACACUGACUUUCAGGUAUUUGUUAUGAGUUGUUGCAUCAGGAUCAUGUUUUGUGUGCUAGCAAUUUGGCAGAAUCUCAUAUUUGUUUAAUAAUACACAAAAAAAAAAAAAAAAAACACUUGCACAAAUAACAUAUUGAGAGCUUUCAAAUAAUUAAUUUAUUAAACUAAUUUCAAAACAAAAACAAAACAAAGAUGAGGGUUAUUCAAACAAAACAAAAACAAAAAAAUCAAAAACGAAACCAGGAAAUCAUCAAUCAUAUAAUCAAAACUGGACUUUAUUAUCAAAAGUGAACCUUAUUAAUCAACUAAAAAGAAGAAUAAUACAAAGAUGAGGGUUUAAUUAUUUCAGAAUCAUCAAACGAAGAUGGGUUUGAGUCAAAGAUUGAGGAAUCCAUAGGUUUGAGGUUCCAUAUUGGGUUUUGAAUCGAAAAUAUAUCAAUAAUAAACAUUAUUUUCAAUUCAAUUUACAAGAUUAUGAAUCCAUGAAUCACAAACGACACAAAUUGAUAGACCUGUGAAAAAAAUCAAGACAAAAGGUAAAGCGAGAGAGAGGACCUGAGAAGGAAGUGAGACGGAGAGUGACGGAAGGGAAAGCGGUGGCCGGAGAGACAGGACUUGAAGGAUUCUCCGGUGAGAAUAACAAUUUCGAUGGGAGAAGAUGAGACGAUGAGAGAGAGAACUUGAAAGAAAAAGAAUGAAGUUUUUGUUAUAAAAUAUUAUUUUAUGUGUUAAGAAAGAUAUAAAAAAAAAAAGAGGAAAAGGAAAGAUGGAGGGAUUUUCUAAAAUUUUAAGGAAAAAAAAAAAAGGGAAGUAAUUAGUGUGCCAAAUGUUGUGGAGUUGAAAAAAUUAAAAACGUUAAUACUUGCGGUCUAAAAUACCAUAAUAAACAAGGUUAAUUGUACCAUAAUAUUUUGUUAAUACCAGCAGUCGAAAACGUACAAUAAAAAGCGGCGGUGAAUAAAACUGCCGCAAUACACUGGUUAUAGUAGCGGUUAACAUGGACCGCCGGUAUAAAACCGCCAGAAUUAACGCGUUUUUUUAUAGUGAAGGUAUUUAAAAGAUCACACUAGUUGUUUUAUUUUUUCGGGGUCAAGUAACUUAGCGGCUAGAGAAAAUCACUAAAUGGAGUGUUUGGAAUUCGAACCUCAAUCCCGCAUGUAUUAUGCAUAUACUAUGCAUUAUCUCAUUUAUGGAUUUUCUAUGAAACUCUCCAAUCGAUAGAAGAAAGAAAGAAAAAAAAAGUAGUGGGUUAGAAACGGCACUUUUUGUGGGUCAUUCAAAAUAAAAUGGUCUCUUUCAUGAAAUCAUAAAUGCAGUAAAAGAUUAAACAGAAAGGAAACCUGCAAGUCAUGGGUUCGCAGCCCUCAGAUUUGGACACAAGAAACAAGGCGCAUAAACAUAUCAUCUUCUUCCCGCCUCUCAUCCGCAUUCAUCUUCUAAAAGUCGGUGCAUUCAAUCCCUUCAUGCCAUGGAAUCUUACAAACAAAGCCUCGCACAAUCUCUAAAGGGACAAUAGAAUUUCUCUAAAACAAACAAAGCCUCGCACAACGCCUUACACCAGCGUUCAAAAAGGACCACAGGAAGAAUAGAACGACAUAACUCAGCUUCUAGCAAAACCAUUGCACCCAGAAACAGGACACCGAACGUUGAUGAUGUUAUCUUGAAGCUUGGAAUCGGAUGUAUUUUGCUAUGCAAUCAGAGCAAUAUGCAUGAGAGCAACAGCUGAUGUAGAAAACAUCCUUCAUUCUUUUAGUUUCGGUGCAGAUUUCGCAAACCAACUGAGUGUUAUUUGAAUUUGAAGACUCUCUUUUUUCGAUGUUGUUUCUUUUACGUUAUCGAAAAAGGGUAUUUUUGGGAAUGAAGUCCAGGAUCCUAACAUCGUCGUCGUCCAUCACGACGGAGAUGUGGUUGACGGAUAAGUGAAAGGUUUCGAGUUCAAUUACCUCUACUUUGGAAUGUGGAUUUCUUGUUGUUUCCUGACCCAUUGGAAAUUAGUUAAUCAAUUCAGUAGUGAGUGUAACAUAUAUACAGGAUUCUGUUACCAAACUAUUAAAAUGGUAUCCUAAUUAUCCGUUGUAACAAACAAAAUGCGAUGAGGUAAUCGCACCGUUUAAACUCAAAUGUUUGAUAAAAGUGAUUUUGACAUAAAAUAAUGGGUUAAUAGUGUUUUUCACCUCUGUAAUAUAUGUCAUUUUCAGUUUUCGCUUCUAUAAAAUUUUCGGUUUGAUUUGCAUCCUCGUAAAAUUUUUAUUUUUCUGGAAAACACCCUUAAUAGGCCAUUCAAAAACCAAAAUUUCUUGAAUUUUUUUUUAUGAAAAUGGCCUAUUAGGGGUGUUUUUCUUAUGAAAAAUAAAAAUUUUACGAGGGUGCAAAUCAAACCGAAAAUUUUAUAGGGGCAAAAACCGAAAAUGACAUUUAUUACAAGACUGAAAACCACUAUUAGCCCUAAAAUAAUUUAGAGAUUGUUUGUUUUUUAAAGAUUUUAUAAAAAAAUUAGAAUCUAUUUUGCGUUUGUUUGCUGUAAUGAAAAUCUUUUUUUUUUUUUUUAAAGAAAUAAUUUAGUUUGUUUGGAUAAAACUAUAUAAAUAGAUUUGGUUUGUUACAAAAUUAGUUCAUUCUUUUGAACCAUAUAUUUUCUCUCCUCUAAAAAAAUAUUUGUUUUUAGAAGUGCUCUGAACAGCUUCUCAUUUGAAACUGUUUUUAGAUUUUUUUUAGAUUUUAAUCUUUUUUAUAAAAAAAGUCGUAACAAACGGAUGCAAUACUCUUAAAAGUGAUUAUUUUAUUUAAAAAAAAACUGAUUUUUUUCUUAAAAAGGCCAUUACAAGCGGGAUCUUAUGCAGGAGGCAGCGCAGUUGAUAGUUUACCUUGCACAAAUUUAGUGUCGUGAAACAUCUUAAAAAGAGCGACAUGGUCGUGAUUCAACUCGAUAAUCUCUUCGGUGGUAAAUUCUCUUUUUAAAAGGUACAUUUUCUAAAUCGAAAACUAACAAUUUUAAUAGAUUUCAAAAACCACAUUGACUACCGAAGAAAUUAUCGCUUCUGGUUUAGCUGUUAACUUCAAUAAGUUGUUUCGGUUUCAAGGUAGUCACUUCAAACGCCGGCAACGAAAGACUGUAUUUUUCUUAACUACCAAAAAGUUUGCAAACGUCUUUAAGGAAGACAUAGAUGUUAUGAAGAUGAGUUCGACUCAUCCCGAAUUGAAUAAUAACGGCAAGCCUCCAAUGGAAUCAGAUGUGUAUGAUCCUGAUGAGAAGGAAAAACAACAUGUUAUAGAUAAAUCCCUCUGAAAAGAUAAUGGUUGUCUAUGCAAAAACUUUAUUUUGAAUGGACUCGCAGACAAUUUGUAUGAUUAAUAUGGACUCUAUCAUACUGCUAAAUAGUUUUGGGAAGCUCUGCAGAAAAAGCACGAUACCGAAGAAGCUGGAGUCAAAAAGUACGUUGUGAGCAUUUACCUAAACUCCAAGAUGAACGAUGGCAAACCUGUGGAGGCACACUCUCAUGAACUACAAAAGAUAGCUCAAGAAAUCGUUGUUGGAGGUAUGUAAUUAUCUGAACAAUUUCAAAAUGUUGUUAUUAUUCAUAAAUUGGCAUAUGUUUCAAAGGACUUAAAAAAUCUUCUGAGGCAAAAAACUAAGGAGUUCUCUCUUAAAAGUCUUUUGAAAGCCUUCGUAUUGAAGAGGAAGCUAGGAAACAAGAUAUAAACGAAGAGGUGUUUUCUGCCUCGAACAACAACACUAAAAAGAAAUUUGUAGAUAUUGUUCUAAAUCAUAAGCGAUGAAACAAUGAUAAAAGACGAUAAUUAAGGCACAAAUGUAACGCCCUCUUUGAAUUAUUUCAUUAUUUAAUUGAGUCUAGAAGUUAUUUAGAUGAGUGUAUAUUAUAUUUAUAUAAUAUAUGUGUGAUUUAUAUGAUUUAUAUGAUUGAGGUGGAUUUUAUGAUUUUAUGAGGAGUUGUGACUUAUUUUAUUGUUUAAUAAAAUAAGAUUUGAAAAUAAAAUAAAUAUUGAGUUUAGGGGCUGUUUUGAGAUUUUAGAGAGUUUUGGGGGAGAAAGAGAAAUAAGAUAAGAUAAUUGGAGGAGAUAUAAAUAAGAAAGACCUAAGUUAGAAAAACAUAACGUACGUACGAUCAGUUUUGGAAAAAGGAAGAAAAAGCCAAGAGAAGAGGGAGAAGACCUAGAGGCUGCGAUUUUCACACUUUAAGGUAAGGGUGAGACUAGCUUUGCAAUUCUAUUAAGUAUGUGAAUCAACGGUUACAUUUAACAUGAAUUAGGAUGAGUUUAAGAGGAAUCGGAAAUUAAGUCAAAUUGAGUGAAUUGAUGAUUAAACGGUGAAAACUUGUUAAAAAGAUGUAGAAACUGUCCUUAGACCUUAGAUAAUGAUUAUGAUGAAUUCUGGAAUCGAGAUUAGUCUUAAAACCAUGCGAGUUGAUGAUUUUAGGUGAAAAUUGCAUCCUUCCCGUAGCGACAUUCAUCGCUCGCCUCCCGAGCUAUGAUCCUCGCCACGGUGAGUGAUGAACUUCAUCGCUCGCCACGCGAGUAACUUUUCCCCGCCUCGCGAGUUGCACGUCGCAGCUCGCCAUGGCGAACACUUGAACUCGCCUAGCGAGCUUGACCAGAGAGCAUGCAAGAUUUCGUAUUUUUGACUUUUGAGUUGAACCUUAGAUGCUUUUGAGUGCCUAAACAUGUCUAAUAUGAUUAGGAAAGAAAGUAGAAUGAGAUUGAACCUGGAAAGACUUAGAAUGAAAACUCUUGAGAAUGUGACCGAACUCGCCAUGGCGAGUAGAGGCUCUCGCCUCGCGAGCACUUGUGUUACAGAAUGCCUUGUUUAGGUUAAAUGUGAUCUUUGUCGCACGAGUUGAUGUGAGUUGAUCCUAGAGGUUAGAAACUAAGUUGUUUAUCUUGUUGUUAACAUUCCAGUAAGGCUGAUGCAUAUGAAUUCAAUGUUGCUUAUAAUGUUAUAUAAUUGUAUAUACAUUACAUGACUUAUGUUUGAUAUUUAAGUUGUUGAUUUGCAUUCGAUAUUAUUAUAUCAUGAUGGUUUGCAUACUGCCUAUGUUGCUAUUUGUUAUUUAACUAAGCUGCAUGAGUCGGUCUAAGUUGUUGAAGAUGAUGAUGUUUCAAAUUAUUGGAUUAAUAUAAGAGGUUGUCGAAUUAAGUCGUUUUAAGAGGUCGAGUCCAUGCAUUAGCAUUCAUUGUUGGGGGCUUGAUGCCCUGGAGCUUUGUACUCACCACGUUGGAGCAUUAGCUCAAAUUAGCGAUGGGGGCUUGAUGCCCUGAAAGUAUAUUAAUACUCAAAUAGCGAUGGGGGCUUGAUGCCCUGUAUUGGUACCACAUGCAUAUAAGAGGUCUAAGUUGCAUAGUUGCAUUUGUCGAGUCAAAGAUGAUAAGUUGUGGAAUUAUGAUUAAUUAUAUGAACUAUGAAUGAAGUAAAUUAUGAUAUGUUAUUAUCCAUGAUGAAUAUUAAGAUGUUUAUAUGUUGUUAAAUAUAAUUGUUGAAUUAUAUGCUUAAUAGUAUUGUUUUGUGAAAUCUCACCCCUUCUGCUUGGAAAUGUUGCUCUUCGUAUGAGUAACUUGCAGGUGAUCAAGUUUAAGUAGCUGGAGUUGCUGUCGUGAGUGGUUAUCCCUCACUGUGUCCUUAGGGUGCUCUGAUACGUAACGAGAUGGGAUCUUUUGUGGCUAUUUCUUGUUCCUUUACGUAUUUAAUUUAUGAAUAAGUUGUUUAACUGAUUUUAUGAGAUAUUUUGAUGAGGUCUGCGUGCCAAGACUUUUUAUGAUGUUGAAUUAAAUCCGCUGCUAUUUUGUUGAUGAAGGAUAAAUUAUUAUUUAUCUACUUAAAAUUUUUAAGUAAUGUGAUAUCACAUUUAUGUGAUGUUUUACUUGUUGGAAUAAGCCCUAAUAGCCAAUCUAUAUUGAUUGGGUUUGGUUUUGUAUCAUGAUAUUGAUAUAAAUAUAUAUUGUGAAUAUAUAAUAACAGGCAUUUCUUUAUUGAUUUUGUUUUGUUUCAAAAUAAUAAAGUCCCUAGAAUAGUUAGUCCGUUUAAUGGAACAUUAAGUAUAACUUAAUUGUGAGACCCCAUUAAACAUAAGGAAACUAUUCUCAAAGUAUCCGUAGUCAAGCUUUGUUGAGAAGUGAGAUAUCAUUAAAGCAUAGAGACUAUUAUGUAGGUAGACUGAUGAUCACAACUCACAGAUCAUGGAUAAAGAGUUAUCAAGUCUUCACAUAGAUAUAAAUAUUAGGAGUAAUAUUUAUAUUGGAUUGAUCCGCCAUGAGAAUAUUACAUAGUAAAAGUUAUGAAAAGUGUCAUAAUAUAUUCUCAUAGUGAUAGUGGUGUAUUCCACCCUUCGACCUGAAACCAUUAUGUAACCUAGAUGUUGGAGUCGAGUGCUUUGUCACCAUUCAAACGUUGUCCGUAACAGGAUGACUAUAAAGUUGGUUGAUGGGUACUCCAUGAAUCAUGCUGAGGGACAUGAGUGACCUAGAUGGAAUUUGCCCCUCCUACAUAACAGGAGAAAUGUCUACGGGCCCAAUAUUGAACUAGACAAGGAUGACACGGUCUAUGCCUUGUGUUCAAUAUAGACAUGAGGGCAAAAGGGUAAUUAUACACAUGAUCAUUAUCACAGAAAGAUUUCGUCAGAUCACAUGACAUUCUCGUCACUUGGGUAGCAGUGAUGUGUUGCUAGAUACCGCUCACUGUUUAUAAUAUUAAAUAUGUGAUGUAAUAUUAUUGCCAACGUUACGGGAACCUAUAGGGUCACACACAAAGGACAGAUAGAUGAGAGAAAUAAAUAAGUAAGACUUAUUUAUAAAAUAAAUAAGUAAGACUUAUUUAUAAAAUAAUAAGUGAGACUUAUUAUUAAUUAAAUAAAUAAAUAUGACUUUAUUAUUUAAUUUACGAAAAAUAGAGAAACGCGGUCCACCGUAAGGUACGGUGUAUUUAAGUGUUGUCUUGUUGUUCACACAAGUGAUUCUAUAAAUAGAACCCUUGUGUUGAAGCAUUAUCACAAAAGUUGUGAAACCCUAGCCGCCGCUCUCUAAACUUUGUUCUCUCUGAAUCUUCGUUGGAAUUGGCUAGCACCGGUCAUCGGAGAAGUUUUGUUCGUGUGGACUGAGUAGAGGCAUCGCUGCUUUGCUUUGCUCGUGAUCAGAAAUAUUUCUUCUACAAAGGUUCUGCUCUUCAAGAGGUAAACACAUGAAUCUUAAAGUGUUUAAGUUUCUGUUUGAUUUGUGAUUAAUGAUUUAAUCAAGAUCCGUUUCAAUGGGAUUUCUUCCGUAAAGAGGAUUAAAAUUUUGAAAAACUCCUCUUAAAAUCCCUUCAGUGGUAUAGCUUUUGGUUAUGAUUAAAUCAUUAGUUCAAAUUACUUUGCCAUAUUGGAUUGCACGAUUUAAGAGUUUCUGAAUAUGAUUCAAAUAUUGUGUUAUCCUUUCGUGUUAAUGUUUUGAACUUGAUUAAUUAAUCCGUGCACGAUUCCAAGUAACCGUAAUUGUGAUUUAUUCAAAAAUAUGUUACUAGCGUGUGAAUUUGAUUCAAAAUCUAGUAGCUGUCAAAGUGUUGACAUCACGGGUAGCCAUAUGCAUAUGUUUGAAUGGCUUGAAUUUGAUUCAAAUCAAAAUAAUAAUAUUUGUAGCAAAUCAAAAGGUCAUGUUUGUGGGACAAAUAAGAAACCGUGAUUUUACUUAUCAAAUAUUUAAGUGGAUAUGGUUUUAUUCUUUCAAAUAAGAGAAAUCCAUUUAACUAGCAUAUUGAUGGAAUGCAAAUCCGGUAAUAACGAUAAGAAUAUUAAGUGUUGAUAUUUUAUUAUUUAAAUAAUAAGAAUUGAUUAAAAUUGAUUGAUCAAUAUCAUAUAUGUGAUAUAUGAUUCUAAUACAUCAUUAUAUGUGAUAUAUUGAUGAUGUCAUUCGUUCAAUAAGUUUUAUGAAAUUGAUUGUGAAUUUGUAGACAAUUCGUGAGAUUGAGGUGAGGCCUAUGUUACCCUCUCUUGUUUAGAGGGUAAUUUACCCUCUCAUGAUAUCAACCAAUCAAAAUGUAAUAUACAUAGGUAGCAUUAAAUGUCAAAUAAAUGAGUAUAUUAUUUCUAAAAAUAAAAGAGUUAAUCUUAAUUAUUUUUUUGAAGGAGAGAUGAUCUUAAACAUAAGGUAACUUUUAAUACUUUUAAUUUUUAUUUAAUUUUUAUUUUUUGAAACAACAAAUGAUUUAAUUUUUUUUUUUUUAUAUUAAGGUGUUCAAUCUUAAUUAAUUUACACUACAAGAUUUAUAACAAAUAAAAUUUUACAUCAAAUUUCUUUCAUCUAGAUAUCCUUAAAUUCAUCAUUUUACAUUCAUAAAAUUUCUUCCAUUCCAGAACCCCGAACGUGAGAACAAAAACAUCUCAUUCUUUCAAAUUUCUUCUUCUUUAUUCUUCCAUAUUGAUCAAUUUUUGUUUCUUUUUCAUUCUUCUUCCCAUUUUGAUUGUUCAAUUUUGUCGUUCCAAAUUGCCGCAAUUUUCAAUUAUCGUGAGAAUUCUCGUUCAUUCUAGAAUCGCGUCAGAUAUCGUGACUUAUUUUUUUUAUUUAAGCAGUCAACCUAAUAAAAUAUGUUAACACGCAUAGACCUGUCUCACUAUCAGCAAAAGCCUUUAAGUCCAAAUAAAAGAACAAAAACCUCAUUACAUAACCAUUUCAGCAGCAACCAAAAAAAUGCUAGCAAACUCCCACAACAUCACAGAGGCAACACCUGCUAGCAGCCCUCAAAGUACAACGGAUGAUUUACUCAAUUGUUAUACUUUGAUUUUUUGUCUUAUUUAUUUGUAACACUAUGGUUUUUUGUCUUUAUUUUUUCCCGUUUAGGUCCUUUAUAUCUCUUAAAAGCACAUAUACAUCUUUUUUUGCAUUUUUUAUUUAUUAAAAAAUACAUAAUUUUAUUUUUAAAAAUAUAUUUUUAUUAAAACUGAAAAAAAAUCCAAAAAUAUAUGAUGGAGAUGUUCAUCAUCUUCAUCUUCUUUCUUUAAUAAUAAUAAUAAUAAUAAUAAUAAUAAUAAUAAUAAUAAUUAUGGCCGUGAUGGGCUCAAUCUGAAGGAAAUUAUGCGGAAGCUUUACAGAAUUAUUAUGAGGCUAUGCGACUGGAAAUUGAUCCCUAUGAUCGAAGUUAUAUACUUUAUAACAUAGGCCUUAUACACACAAGUAACGGAGAACAUACGAAAGCUUUGGAAUACUAUUUUAGGGCACUCGAACGAAACCCUUUCUUACCUCAAGCUUUUAACAAUAUGGCCUUGAUCUGUCAUUACGUGCGACUAUCUCCACUAUAGAAAAAAAGAAAAGAACGAACAACUCCACUAAUACUAAUAAAAAAAUAAAUACUAGACAAAAAAAAUGGGCUUUCUACAUAUAUAUAUCGUUCGAAACAACGAUUUUUAUGAGCUGGUAGCAAAGAAAGAAACUUCAUAGAAGUCAAAAUAUGAAGAAAUAGAAUAUAUACGCCUAGAUACUUUUUUUCUAUGGAUAAAAGAUCUAAUUGAUAGAGGAAGCACCGUAAAGAUCAAUUAACAAGGUUUUUGGCCGAUACAACAAGAACUGCUUACUUAUAUGAUGAUAGAUUAGGAAUCUACUUAUGUAAUAAAGUGGAUCCCCUAAGGUUGUGAGCAGCGGUGUAGUAUCAGAUCCCAAAGAUAGUAAGUCUUUUCUUAUGAAGAAAAGUCUUUCUCAAAGAUUCUAUAGAAAUUGAUAUAUCAUAUAUGAAAGUAUAUGAUAUAUGAAAUCGAGAUAGUUACCUUUCAGAAAAUUUCAAUAAGAACGAGCAUUAGUGUUAAUGUCGAUACUUUAUUCUUCGGAAGGUAGGAAAAAAGAUAAAACUAAAAACAAAGGAUUAAAUUCGUAAUCCAAAUUCAAGUUUGAAACUCAUGUAAUUAACCUCUUUUCUUGUUCUUAACUCCAGAAAAAAUGGAAGAUAAAAAGAAUUGACUGUUGAGCCGUAUGAGUCAGGAAACUCUCAAGUACGGUUCUAAGGGAAGGAAUUUACUCACCAAUUCCGACCGCGGAGAACAGGCCAUUCGACAGGGAGAUUCUGAAAUUGCGGAAUCUUGGUUUGAUCAAGCCGCUGAAUAUUGGAAACAAGCUAUAGCCCUUACCCCUGGGAAUUAUAUUGAAGCACAGAAUUGGUUGAAGAUCACAGGGCGUUUUGAAUAAGAACACUCUGUUUAUUAUUUUCUUUUUUUUAUUCUAAUAUUCUAUAUUUUCUAUAAUUUUUCUAUAAUUCUCUUUAUAUUCUAUUCUCUAUAGAGAAUAGAAUAUAAAGAGAAUACGGAUCAUUCAUUUUCUAAAUAUAAAGCAACAAACAAUCAAAAGAUUUUCUUAUAUCCCUUCUAAAAUAGUUCUAUUUCAUCUGAUAUUUCGUUAUGUUCCUUAGUAAUGCUAAUAUAACUGCUCACGUGAUUUGAAAUAAAGUACCUAAGAAUAUCUUCUCUGUAAGAUAUGCAAGAAAGACAAAAAAUUUCAUUUGUUCCAUCUAGGAAUCUCUAAGUGAAAUAUGAAUAGACUAGGUUGCACAAAAAAUUCUUUAACUUCAUUAAAUUCAAAGUUCAGAAAAGGUUUUAGAAUUAAAAAAAAGGGUCCGUUGAGCGCCUUACUACUAUGUCAUAAUAGAUCCGAACACUUGCCCCGGAUUAACUUCCGGAUCAUAAUUGUUCUAGUGAAUAACUAAAGAAAAUAUAGAAUAAAUAGAUGGGAGAUAGAAGAGAAAGUUAUUCAAUAUAAACAUCUCUCAUAAGUUCACUAAUUAUGUUUUAUGUUGGCGGGUCUCUUUGUAUGUGUUGUCCGGAAAGAGGAGGACUCAAUGAUUAUUCGUUCGCCGGAACCAAAAGUCAAAAUUUUGGUAGAUCCAGAAGUCAAAAUUUUGGUAGAUAGGGAUCCCAUAAAAACUUCUUUCGAGCAAUGGGCAAAGCCUGGUCAUUUCUCAAGAACAAUAGCUAAGGGACCUGAUACUACUACUUGGAUCUGGAACCUACAUGCUGAUGCUCAUGAUUUCGAUAGCCAUACUAGUGAUUUAGAGGAGAUUUCCCGAAAAGUAUUUAGUGCUCAUUUCGGCCAACUCUCCAUUAUCUUUCUUUGGCUGAGUGGCAUGUAUUUCCAUGGUGCUCGUUUUUCCAAUUAUGAAGCAUGGCUAAAUGAUCCUACUCACAUUCGACCUAGUGCCCAGGUGGUUUGGCCAAUAGUAGGCCAAGAAAUAUUGAAUGGUGAUGUAGGCGGAGGUUUCCGCGGAAUACAAAUAACUUCUGGUUUUUUUCAGAUUUGGCGAGCAUCUGGAAUAACUAAUGAAUUACAACUCUAUUGUACUGCAAUUGGUGCAUUGGUCUUUGCAGCCUUAAUGCUUUUUGCUGGUUGGUUUCAUUAUCACAAAGCUGCUCCAAAAUUGGCUUGGUUCCAAGAUGUAGAAUCCAUGUUGAAUCACCAUUUGGCAGGGCUACUAGGACUUGGGUCUCUUUCUUGGGCGGGGCAUCAAGUACAUGUAUCUUUACCAAUUAACCAAUUUCGAAAUGCUGGAGUAGAUCCCAAAGAGAUCCCACUUCCUCAUGAAUUUAUCUUGAAUCGGGAUCUUUUGGCUCAACUUUAUCCAAGUUUUGCCGAAGGAGCAACCCCAUUUUUUACCUUGAAUUGGUCAAAAUACGCGGACUUUCUAACUUUUCGUGGAGGAUUAGAUCCACUAACUGGGGGUCUAUGGCUGACCGAUAUUGCACAUCAUCAUUUAGCUAUUGCAAUUCUUUUUCUCAUUGCCGGUCAUAUGUAUAGAACUAAUUGGGCUAUUGGUCAUGGUAUAAGAGAUAUUUUAGAGGCCCAUAAAGGUCCAUUUACAGGCCAAGGUCAUAAAGGUCUAUAUGAGAUCCUAACAACGUCAUGGCAUGCUCAAUUAUCUAUUAACCUAGCUAUGUUAAGCUCUUUGACCAUUAUUGUAGCUCACCAUAUGUAUGCUAUGCCUCCUUAUCCAUACCUAGCUACUGACUAUGGGACACAACUGUCAUUGUUCACACAUCACAUGUGGAUUGGGGGAUUUCUCAUAGUUGGUGCUGCUGCACAUGCAGCCAUUUUUAUGGUAAGAGACUAUGAUCCAACUACUCGAUACAACGAUCUAUUAGAUCGUAUUCUUAGACAUCGCGAUGCAAUCAUAUCACAUCUCAACUGGGUGUGUAUAUUUUUAGGCUUUCACAGUUUUGGUUUGUAUAUUCAUAAUGAUACCAUGAGUGCUUUAGGGCGCCCUCAAGAUAUGUUUUCUGAUACCGCUAUACAAUUACAACCAGUCUUUGCUCAAUGGAUACAAAAUACCCACGCUUUAGCACCUGGUACAACGGCCCCUGGUGCAACAGCAAGCACCAGUUUGACUUGGGGCGGUGGUGAUUUAGUGGCAGUGGGCGGCAAAGUAGCUUUGUUACCUAUUCCAUUAGGAACUGCAGAUUUUUUGGUACAUCAUAUUCAUGCAUUUACAAUUCACGUGACGGUAUUGAUACUCCUAAAAGGAGUUCUAUUUGCUCGUAGCUCACGAUUGAUACCGGAUAAAGCAAAUCUUGGUUUUCGGUUCCCUUGUGAUGGACCUGGAAGAGGGGGGACAUGCCAAGUAUCCGCUUGGGAUCACGUCUUCUUAGGAUUAUUUUGGAUGUACAAUUCAAUUUCUGUAGUAAUAUUCCAUUUCAGUUGGAAAAUGCAGUCCGAUGUUUGGGGUAGUAUAAACGAUCAAGGAGUAGUAACUCAUAUCACAGGAGGAAACUUUGCGCAGAGUUCGAUUACCAUUAAUGGGUGGCUCCGCGAUUUCUUAUGGGCGCAGGCAUCCCAGGUAAUUCAGUCUUAUGGUUCCUCAUUAUCUGCAUAUGGUCUUUUUUUCUUAGGUGCCCAUUUUGUAUGGGCUUUUAGUUUAAUGUUUCUAUUCAGCGGGCGUGGUUAUUGGCAAGAACUUAUUGAAUCCAUCGUUUGGGCUCAUAAUAAAUUAAAAGUUGCUCCUGCUACUCAGCCUAGAGCCUUGAGCAUUGUACAGGGACGUGCUGUAGGAGUAACCCAUUACCUUCUGGGUGGAAUUGCCACAACGUGGGCAUUCUUCUUAGCAAGAAUUAUUGCAGUAGGAUAAUGGCUAGGAGGAUUUGAAAAGCAUUAUGGCAUUAAGAUUUCCAAGGUUUAGCCAAGGCUUAGCUCAGGACCCCACUACUCGUCGUAUUUGGUUUGGUAUUGCUACCGCACAUGACUUCGAAAGUCAUGAUGAUAUUACUGAGGAACGUCUUUAUCAGAAUAUUUUUGCUUCUCAUUUCGGACAAUUAGCAAUAAUUUUUCUGUGGACUUCCGGGAAUCUCUUUCAUGUAGCUUGGCAAGGAAAUUUUGAGGCAUGGGUACAGGAUCCUUUACAUGUAAGACCUAUUGCUCAUGCAAUUUGGGAUCCCCAUUUUGGUCAACCGGCUGUAGAAGCUUUUACUCGAGGGGGUGCUCUUGGCCCAGUGAAUAUCGCCUAUUCCGGUGUUUAUCAGUGGUGGUAUACAAUCGGUUUACGUACUAAUGAAGAUCUUUAUACUGGAGCUCUUUUUCUAUUAUUUCUUUCUGUCAUAUCCUUACUAGCGGGCUGGUUACACCUACAACCGAAAUGGAAACCGAGCGUUUCGUGGUUUAAAAAUGCCGAAUCCCGCCUCAAUCAUCAUUUGUCAGGACUAUUUGGAGUCAGUUCCUUAGCUUGGGCAGGGCAUUUAGUUCAUGUUGCUAUUCCAGGAUCCAGAGGAGAAUAUGUUCGAUGGAAUAAUUUCUUAAGUGUAUUACCACAUCCUCAAGGAUUAGGUCCACUUUUUACAGGUCAGUGGAAUCUUUAUGCUCAAAACCCCGAUUCUAGUAGUCAUUUAUUUAGUACUUCGCAAGGCGCGGGAACUGCCAUUCUAACACUUCUCGGGGGAUUCCAUCCUCAAACGCAAAGUUUAUGGCUGACCGAUAUGGCACAUCAUCAUUUAGCUAUUGCAAUUCUUUUUCUCAUUGCUGGUCAUAUGUAUAGAACUAACUUCGGUAUUGGGCACAGUAUAAAAGAUAUUUUAGAAGCACAUAUUCCUCCGGGGGGUAGAUUGGGCCGUGGACAUAAGGGUCUUUAUGACACAAUCAAUAAUUCAAUUCAUUUUCAAUUAGGCCUUG
rnacentral:lncRNA from 1 species